rnacentral:lncRNA from 1 species
CUUUUUUUUUCUACAGGCCGCAUUUUAACGUAUUUCAUCCUGAAAUUGGACCCAGAUAUGCCUCACAUCCUUGUUUAUUUGCACAAAAAAAUUCAGAUUUUUUUUCGAAUUUUGAUUUUUUUUUCAGAAAAUACCAAAACGCCAUUCUCGAUAAUUGAGAAUUUUGGUUUCAUGAAAAUUGGUAUGUCAAUACAAGUUAGUCCUCCAUAUUGUAAAAACCGUCUCAGAUUUAUUACUUGUCAUAACAGUGGUAUUAUGAAACAACCAUCUUAGAUAUAAACUAAUUAUGUAAAAAUGUAUCUCUGAUAAGCCUCAUAUAUGUGUGAAUAGUUUACAGAACUGUCUUGGAUGAGCAGCUUAUUAUGUGAGUUCUUGUAGUAGUGCAUGGAUGGGCCGACGAAGAGGAAAUUCUUAAUCAGGAUUAACAUUCGCCAGUGACUUACUAUAGAUGGCUAAAUGCAGGUUUUGGGCCUGUGGCUAUUAGUUCAAAGCUUAUCCUUCAUCGUUGCCGGAGUCUCGGUAACCGCCCUGCUGGUCUACGAUGACCUGAAAGUGACAAGCUUCCCGGUGUUCGUGGCUCUAGUCGUGGUCACCAACGUCUCCGGCGCGCUCGCGGCUCUCUCGACACUCGCCGGAACCAUACUGAUCGAGAGAGAAUGGUACACAACCCACAACUUAACUAACUGCAUUAGCUGUACGUACGUGUUGUCUGAUGGCUGCGAUGAUGCAUGCAGGGUGGUGGUGAUGUGCGGCGGGCAUCCACCGGCGGUGCUGACCCGAACCAACUCGGCGAUCCGGAGGAUCGACCUGAGCUGCAAGCUUCUGGCGCCGGUGCUGUCCGGGUUGGUGAUCAGCUUCGUGUCGACGCAGGCCUCCGCGGUGGCGCUGGCGCUAUGGAACGUCGCCUCGGUGUGGCUGGUGUACUGGCUCUUCGUGUCGGUCUACAACGGCGUGCCGGCUCUCGGCGCCAAUGGCCUGGCAAGGGACACGGCGGCGCCGGAGGUCGACGAGGCGGCGCAGGGUCACGGUCAGGACGCGUCGGACUGGAGCGAGAGGCUGACGGCGCGGCUCUCAGUCCUGCCCUGCUGGGAGUCCUGGGCCGUGUACGCGAGGCAGGAGGUGGUGCUGCCCGGGGUUGCUCUCGCCAUCCUCUACUGUUAGUUGUGUAAACCUGUUGUAAUAUGGUCGUGGUAAAACCUGGAAGGUGCCCAUGUGUUGGUGCACUGUGGGUGAGUGGAGUGAUGGUGAACUGCAUCUGUUGCAACCAUCAGUUCACGUAGUGGGUGUACUGAGUGUGUACCCAAGUAUUGUAGCAGAGUGUGGGCUGUGUGCGUGCACUGGUAUGGCUACAGUGGUGUUGGUUUCUGUAACUGAACAUCAAAAGAGUAGAGCCGGAGUGUGUCGCUGGUUUAGUAAAGGAAAAAGGGCAUUCGUUGCCUGGAAAACCAACCUGUGUGUGUGCUGCUCUGCUCCUCCUCUGUUUUUGCUUGUGUCCAUUUUGCUCGAACAGCUUGCGUGCGUGUGUGUAUCCACCCAGAACUAGGCGAGAGAGAGAGGCUCUUGCCAACAAUUGGCACCAGAGCCAGCGAGGGGUGAUUGGCGGCCAUGGACAAGACGCCGGAGGCGGCGUUCAAGGCGGCGGAGGAUGCGCUAAAGGAGGCGGCGGCUGCGCGAGCGGAGGCGGACGCAGCCAAAGCCGAACUGGCGGCGCUAAAGGGGGAGAUGGCUGGUGCAGAGCAGAAACCGGGGGAGUUGAUGCCGGUGGCCCAGGCGCUGCCGGUGAGGCCCCGAGGUCCCAUCAACUACCCGCAGCUCACCCGCACCAACUAUACCCUCUGGGCGAUGCAGAUGCGGGUGGCGCUACAGUCAGCCUGCGUGUGGGAGGCAGUCCACUCCGACAAGGUGGAGUUCGAGCUGGAUCGUGACGCGCUCCUGGCAAUUUAUCAAGGCGUGCCGGAAGAUGUGCUCGCGUCGCUCGCCGGCAAGGACACGGCGAAGGCGGCGUGGGAGGCCAUCAAGUCUGUGCACGUCGGCCAUGACCGCGUGCGCGAGUCGAACCUGCAGGCGCUGCGUAAGGCCUUCGAGGGGCUGGAGAUGGGCGACAACGAGCAAACAGAGGUCUUCGCCACGCGCGUGAACAAGAUGGUGUCAUCCAUCCGUGCGCUCGGCGAUGAGGUGAAGGAGAUCACCGUUGUCCAAAAGAUGCUUCAAGCAGCGCCAGCGCGGCUCAUGCAUUUGGUCACCGCAUUGGAGCAGUGUGUCGAUCUGAAGACGCUCACGGUGGAGGACCUACUCGGGCGCUUCAAGGCGUAUGAGGAGCGCAUUAAGCAGCGCUUUGGUGAUCCUGUUGAUGGACAGCACCUCAUGCUGACCAGGAAGCAAUGGGAAGGUUACGUCGGGAAGAAGAACUGGGGCAGCAACGGAGCAGGUGGUAGUGGAAAGGGAGGCGCUGACCGUGGAAGUGACCACGGAAGAGGCGAUGACCAGUCGUCGAGCGCGAAAUCUGCUGCAACUCCGAAGAAAAAAUUCAAGUGCUAUAAUUGUGGUGAAAAAGGGCAUUUCUCGAGGGAAUGCACCAAGCCAAAGAAGAAGAAGCAAGAAAGAGCCAUGGUGGCUGAGAAGCAAAAUGAAGAACCUGCUCUUCUACUGUCAGAAACCUGUGUAAUAUCAGGUAACUCAGUAGAAGCAAAGGGCAGGGUGUACCUCAAUGAAGAAAAGGUGAAACCACAACUUAGUGAUGAUGGAAGGUAUGACACUAAAAUGUGGUAUCUUGACACUGGAGCUAGCAACCAUAUGACAGGCUCCAAAGCAAUGUUUACUAGUAUUGAUGAUUCAGUUACUGGAGUAGUCAAAUUUGGAGAUGGUUCCCUGGUUGAAAUUGAGGGCAGGGGUACCAUACUUAUUACUACAAGAGAUGGGGCUCAUCGUGGGCUAACUGAUGUUUAUUACAUACCAAAGUUGAGAAGUAAUAUCAUUAGUCUCGGACAGUUGGAAGAGUAUGGUUGCAAGGUCAUAUUAGAAGAUGGGUACCUGCAAAUAUUUGAUCAAGGGAGAAAACUGCUAGUAAAAGUACCAAGAGGAGAGAACAGGCUGUAUAUACUGAAUAUUAGUUUGGGCAUGCCUGUGUGUUUACUGUCAUCUAUCACUGAUGUGUCAUGGUUGUGGCAUGCUCGUUAUGGUCAUCUAAAUUUUGAUGCCUUGAGGUCUUUAGCUCAGCAUGACAUGGUUAAAGGGCUUCCUUUAGUGUGCCACAAGGACAGGGUAUGUGACGGCUGCCUCAUUGGCAAGCAGCGUCGACUACCAUUUCCAAAGCACGCAACUUUCAGAGCAGAAAAAAGUCUUGAGUUGGUGUAUACAGACCUGUGUGGUCCAAUUACACCUGCAACUCCUGCCGGAAAUCGCUACUUUAUGCUUAUAGUAGAUGAUUUCAGUCGGUUCAUGUGGGGAGUGCUGCUGAAAACCAAAGAUCAAGCAUUUGUUGCAUUCAGAAGGUUUAAAGCAGCUGCAGAGUUGAAAAGUGGGCUGAAGUUGAAAGUGCUCAGGAGUGAUAGAGGAGGAGAGUUUACAUCUGUUGAAUUCAAUUCCUUCUGUGAAGAUCAUGGAAUUCAACGCCAACUCACUGCACCCUACAGCCCUCAGCAGAACGGAGUUGUGGAGAGACGCAACCAAACUGUAGUUGCAAUGGCACGGUGUCUGCUGAAAAGCCAAAAUAUGCCGGGCUGUUACUGGGGGGAAGCAGUUGCUACUGCCAUUUAUAUCUUGAACCGAGCCCCCACGAAGAGUGUUGCUGUAAAAACACCUUAUGAAGCUUGGAAUGGCUAUAAACCAAAUGUUGGCCAUCUUCGGACUUUUGGUUGUUUGGCUCACGUCAAGGUAACAGGUCCAUCUGGUGGGAAAUUAGCUGACAGAAGUAUUCCAAUGGUAUUGAUUGGCUAUGAGAAAGGCUCAAAUGCAUAUAGACUUGUCAAUCCAGAGACAAAUCGUGUGUGUGUAUCAAGGGAUGUAGUUUUUGAAGAAUCAAAAGGUUGGCAGUGGUCCAGUGGAGAUGAUGUCACGAUCAGUGAUGACACUGAUAGGUUUCUGGUUCACUUUGAACCUGAACAAACUGAAUCAGUGAAUGACCAUGCUGCUCAAGAAGGUGAAAAUGCAGAAAACAGGGAAGGUACAGAACCAAUUACACCUAGGCAAGCAGUGCUUCCAGGGUCACCUGUUAUACCUGCUAUGGUGACACCAAUAUCCUCUGUUGCUGCAGAAAGUCCUGAAUCAUCUGCUCCACUGAAAAUGCGCUCCCUUGAUGAGAUUUUCGAUGCUACCUCUCCACACUGGAGUCCAGCUGAUUAUGACCAUAUGGAGGAACUUGAGUUGUGUAUGCUAGGUGCAGAGGAGCCAACUCACCACAAUGAUGCUCUGAAGCAUGAGCAUUGGAAGAAAGCCAUGGAGGAAGAGCUGAAAUCCAUAAAAGAAAAUGAUACAUGGGAAAUGGUAACACCACCUACUGGAGUGCGAGCCAUUGGACUGAAAUGGGUAUUUAAAUUGAAAAAAGAUGUUGAAGGCAAUGUGAUACGCCACAAGGCAAGGCUAGUCGCCAAGGGGUAUGUGCAACGUCAUGGCAUUGACUUUGAUGAGGUCUUUGCACCUGUGGCACGCCUAGAAACUGUGAGGCUACUAAUGGCAUUGGCAGCAAAUGAAGGGUGGAGGGUACACCAUAUGGAUGUGAAAUCAGCAUUCUUAAAUGGAGAAUUGGAGGAAGAAGUGUAUGUAGCACAACCUCCAGGUUUCAUUGAAACUGGCAAAGAAGGAAAGGUACUGAAACUCAGGAAAGCCUUGUAUGGGCUUCGACAGGCUCCAAGAGCCUGGAAUUUGAAACUGGAUCAGACUUUGUUGUCUCUUGGUUUCAUUAGAAGUCCUGUUGAACAUGCGGUGUACAUGAAGAAUUCUGGAAAUGCACGACUGCUGGUUGGAGUAUAUGUUGAUGAUUUGAUCAUAACCGGUUCUAGUGCAGAAGAAGUGGCUAUGUUCAAGGAACAGAUGAAAGACAUGUUCAGUAUGAGUGACUUGGGUCUACUUUCAUAUUAUCUUGGCAUUGAAGUUGCGCAAGUUGAAGAUGGCAUUUCACUCUGCCAAUCUGCAUAUGCACUGAAGAUACUAGAGAAGACUGGCAUGCUGGAUUGCAAUCCUUGUCAAACACCCAUGGAAGAAAGGCUGAAGUUAAGUAAGAAUGGAGAAGGACCCAAAGUGGAUCCAACAUACUACAGGAGUGUAGUAGGAAGCCUCAGGUACUUGGUUAACACCAGACCUGACAUCUCCUAUGCUGUUGGCGUUGUAAGCCGAUACAUGGAGAGCCCAAAUUCCCAGCACAUGGCAGCGGUGAAACAAAUUUUGAAGUAUAUCCGUGGAACUCUGAACCUUGGAUGCAAAUACUCUCAGAAUAAAGGAGAAAAGCCCAGCCUGCUUGGGUACUCUGAUAGUGAUCACGGUGGAGAUGUUGAUGACCGAAAAAGCACAACUGGAGUACUCUAUUUCCUUGGCAAGAGUCCAAUUACAUGGUUGUCCCAGAAGCAGAAAGUAGUUGCAAUUUCAUCAUGUGAAGCUGAAUAUAUUGCUGCCGCUAGUGCUGCUUGUCAGGGUUUGUGGCUUGGACAACUACUUGCUGAGAUGGAAGGGAAGCAGCCAGUUCAGGUUGAGUUGUUGGUUGACAACAAGUCGGCUAUUUCAUUGGCCAAAAAUCCUGUUCACCAUGAUCGCAGUAAGCAUAUCGAUAUACGUUAUCAUUUUAUCAGGGACUGUGUGGAGAAUGGCAAGAUCGGGGUGAACUAUGUUCCAACGGGAGAUCAGCUGGCAGACCUACUUACCAAGCCCCUUGGGCGUUUGAAGUUCCUGGAGCUCAGACGAAGGAUUGGCAUGGUGGUUGUCAAAUGAAGACAACAAGGUUUAGGAGGAAGAUUGUUAGUUGUGUAAACCUGUUGUAAUAUGGUCGUGGUAAAACCUGGAGGGUGCCCAUGUGUUGGUGCACUGUGGGUGAGUGGAGUGAUGGUGAACUGCAUCUGUUGCAACCAUCAGUUCACGUAGUGGGUGUACUGAGUGUGUACCCAAGUAUUGUAGCAGAGUGUGGGCUGUGUGCGUGCACUGGUAUGGCUACAGUGGUGUUGGUUUCUGUAACUGGACAUCAAAAGAGUAGAGCCGGAGUGUGUCGCUGGUUUAGUAAAGGAAAAAGGGCAUUCGUUGCCUGGAAAACCAACCUGUGUGUGUGCUGCUCUGCUCCUCCUCUGUUUUUGCUUGUGUCCAUUUUGCUCGAACAGCUUGCGUGCGUGUGUGUAUCCACCCAGAACUAGGCGAGAGAGAGAGGCUCUUGCCAACAUCUACUUCUCCGUGCUAAGGCAAUUCAUUUACGGAUACAAUAAGAACUUAUAUUUUACAUUUGAUACAAUUUGAUUUUGAUCUUGUUUCCGUUGCUGCUGCAGCUUUGGCACGCUGAUGACGGCGACGCUGGACUGGGAGGGCAUCCCGGCGUACGUGAUCAGCCUGGCCCGGGGGUUCAGCGCCAUGGUGGGCAUCGCGGCGACGGUGCUGUACCCGGCCGCGCACGCGCGGCUGUCCACGCUCCGGACGGGGCUCUGGGCCAUCUGGACGCAGUGGUGCUGCCUGCUGCUCUGCGUCGGCUCCGUCUGGGUGGGCGGCCGCGCGGCGUCGGCGUGGGGGCUCAUGGCCGGCGUCGCCGCGUCGCGCCUCGGCCUCUGGAUGUUCGACCUGGCGGUCACGCAGCUGAUGCAGGACGGCGUCCCGGACGCGGACCGGUGCGCCGUCGGAGGGGUCCAGAGCUCGCUGCAGUCCGUGUUCGACCUGCUCACCUACGUCAUGGGCAUCAUCGUCUCCGACCCCAGGGUACGCACGCUCGUGUCUUUCGUUUCGCUCAGUUUGUUGCCCAAAUGGCGAGACGAGUACGGUGGUGAACUGGUGAUGAUUUCGGUGCAACCAAAUUAACAGGAUUUCGGCGAGCUCAUCGCGCUCUCCUUCUUGCUGGUGACCUGCGCUGCGGUCAUGUACACGCUGCACGUGUACCGCGUGCGGAAGCACCUGUUCCACCUCGACAAGAUCUUCGCCAAGAUGCAAUAGUCAUGAUCUUUGGUUCUCUCGGAUGUGCGUUAGUGUUACUACGUACUCCUAGAUAUACAGAGGCCAGGUGUGUACUUACUAUGAUUGUAUCGCUCGAUGCUACAUUAUGAGGCACUAAAAGACGCCCAAAAUAGAAAAGAAAAUGAGAACAUGCGUGUGCAUGACUGUAGGUUUUGUAAUUUGUAGGAGUAGUAUAUUAACACCAUGGUUGGAUUAUUCUUCCACUUUCUUCUUUUUUGGAUUUCAGUAUUUUCCUUUUAGACAAACUCACAAAGUUUUAUUCACCCAUCACAAGGUUUACAUGGACGAAAUCUAAAUUUUCAGGUUGGCCUAACCAAACAUGGCGGCCAAAACCCAAAGAUAACGCAUGCUUUGCAAGUUUGUGAGCCUCGAGAUUCGAGGUUCUAUAUUCUUGGCUAAUUAAACACGAAGAAAAAACUCUAGAACGAUCUAUAAUUUCAUGUACCACUGCCCCAUAUUGUGCUGUCGUGCCACUCUUGAUCGCUUCAACGGCCACCUUGCAGUCCGACGCAAUAGAUAUCUUGUGGAGCGUUGCCUCACGAAUUGCCAAAGUUUCAGGACUUCUGGUUCGUCAAUAUUUCUGAAAACUAACACUGAAGCUCCUUGGAACAUCCCAUUGGCAUGCCUGCAGAUCGCCGCUGUAGUCCCAAAGCCUCCAUGCCUUGCUACUGCCGCAUCAACAUUCACCUUCAUGUGCUGCUCCGGUGGGGGAAUCCAUGUCGUUGGUCUUGGAGCUGGUACACUAGCUCUCCUCUCCAGUUUCGCAAGGAUCUGCAGUUCCGCCAGAUAACUCGAGAAAACAAUGGGUUGUGUAGGGAGUUUGAAAGAUCCCCUCGUGUAUAACCUUCCUCCGGGCAGACCAGAUUGCCCAAAGCGUGGCAAUCAUUGCGAUGAGCUCAUCAUUGGGCAGUGAUUCAAACAUAGAGAACAACCAAUCCUUUGCAUUAUCAUCCCGAUUCAUAGCCAUGUGUUGUACCAUCUCCUCCUUUGCCAAUGCCCAAGUACUUCUAGAUAGAGCACAAUCCAGUAAGGAAUGUCGCAAACUAUCUCGCGCGCCACAAAUCCCGCAUACAUCCGUUGUUGCCAUAUUUCUGUGUUGGAGUAGGUCCCCGGUGGGAAGGGAUUGUUUCGCAAGCCUCAAUGUAAAGACUUUUAAUUUUGAUGGCAGCUGUAAUUUCCAUAAGGCUGACCAGCUGUUCAUCUGGCCCUGUAAAUUAGAAGUGUGUUCGCCUUCCUCUAACCAUGCUUCCUGUCCAUUUUGAUACGGUAGAUCUGAAGGAAAUAUGUUCUAGAGGCAAUAAUAAAGUUGUUAUUUAUAUUUUCUUAUAUCAUGAUGAAUGUUUAUUAUUCACGCUAGAAUUGUAUUAACAGGAAACUUGGUACAUGUGUGAAUACAUAGACAAAACAAAGUUUCCCUAGUAUGCCUCUACUUGACUAGCUCGUUAAUCAAAGAUGGUUAUGUUUCCUCACCAUAGACAUGUGUUGUCAUUUGAUGAACGGGAUCACAUCAUUAGGAGAAUGAUGUGAUGGACAAGACCCAUCCGUUAGCUUAGCAUUAUGAUCGUUAUAAUUUCAUUGCUACUGCUUUCUUCAUGACUUAUACACGUUCCUCAGACUGUGAGAUUAUGCAACUCCCGAAUACCGGAGGAACACCUUGUGUGCUAUCAAACGACACAACGUAACUGGGUGAUUAUAAAGGUGCUCUACAGGUAUCUCCGGAGGUGUUUGUUGGGUUGGCAUAGAUCAAGAUUAGGAUUUGUCACUCCUGUUUCGGAGAGGUAUCUCUGGGCCCUCUCGGUAAUGCUCAUCACUAUAAGCCUUGCAAGCAUUGUAACUAAUGAGUUAGUUGCGGGAUGAAGUAUUACGGAACGAGUAAAGAGACUUGCCGGUAAUGGGAUUGAACUAGGUAUGAUGAUACCGACGAUCGAAUCUCGGGCAAGUAACAUACCGAUGACAAAGGGAACAACGUAUGUUGUUAUGCGGUUUGACCGAUAAAGAUCUUCGUAGAAUAUGUAGGAGCCAAUAUGAGCAUCCAGGUUCCGCUAUUGGUUAUUGACCGGAGAUAUGUCUCGGUCAUGUCUACAUAGUUCUCGAACCCAUAGGGUCCGCACGCUUAAUGUUCGAUGACGAUAUGUAUUAUGAGUUAUGUGAUUUUGAUGACCGAAGUUUGUACGGAGUCCCGGAUGAGAUCACGGACAUGAUGAGGAGUCUCUAAAUGGUCGAGACAUAAAGAUCGAUAUAUUGGAAGGCUAUAUUCGGACAUCGGCAAGGUUCCGAGUGAUUCGGGUAUUUUUCGGAGUACCGGAGAGUUACGAGAAUUCGCUGGGGGAAUUAGUGGGUCUUAAUGGGCCAUACAGGAAAGGAGAGAAGGGCCUCAAGGGGUGCCCCCCCCAUGGGCUGGUACGAAUUGGACUAGGAGGGGGCGGUGCCCCCCUCCUUCCUUCUCCCCUCUUCCUCCUUCCCUUCCUUCUCCUAGUGGGAAUAGGAGGGGGGGGGGCGAAUCCUACUUGGACCGAGAGUCCAAGUAGGACUCCCCCCCUUGGCGCCCCCUCUAGGGCCGGCCUCCUCUUCCUCCCUCCUUUAUAUACGUAGGCAGGGGGCACACCAAAGGCACUCUAAGAUUUUUCUUAGUCGUGUGCGGUGCCCCCCUCCACAGUUACACACCUCGAUCAUACUGUUAUGGAACAUCGGCAAAGCCCUGCACCGGUAGCAUAAUCAUCACCCUCGCCACGCCGUCAUGCUGACGGAACCCCCCCUCGGCCUCAACUGGAUCAAGAGUACGAGGGACGUCAUCGAGCUGAAUGUGUGCUGAACUCGGAGGUGCCAUACGUUUGAUGCUUGAUCGGUUGGAUCGCGAAGAAGUUCGACUACAUCAACCGCGUUAGUAAACGCUUCCGCUUUCGGUCUACGAGGGUAUAUGGACAUACUCUCCCCUCUCUUUGCUAUGCAUCUCCUAGAUAGUUCUUGCGUGAUCGUAGGAUUUUUUUUGAAAUUACUGUGUUCCCCAACAGUGGCAUCAGAGCCAGGUCUAUGCGUAGAUGUUAUAUGCACGAGUAGAACACAAGUGAGUUGUGGGCGAUAAUAGUCAUACUGCUUACCACCAACAUCUUACUUUGAUUUGGUGGUAUUGUUGGAUGAAGCGGCCCGGACCGACAUUACAUGGCCGCGUUCAUGAGACUGGUUCUACUGACGUGCUUACGCACACAGGUGGCUGGUGGGUGUCAGUUUCUCCAACUUUAGUUGAAUCGAGUUUGACUACGGUCGGUCCUUGUGAAGGUUAAAACAACACACUUGACAAAAAAUCGUUGUGGUUUUGAUGCGUAGGUAAGAACAGUUCUUACUAGAAGCCCAUAGCAGCCACGUAAAACUUGCAACAACAAAGUAGAGGACGUCUAACUUGUUUUUCUAGGGCUUGCUAUGAUGUGAUAUGGUCAGGACAUGAUGUGAUAUAAAUUGUUGUAUGAGAUGAUCAUGUUUUGUAACAAAAUUAUCGGUAACUGGCAGGAGCCAUAUGGUUGUCGCUUUAUUGUAUGCAAUGCAAUCAUAAUGUAAUUGUUUUACUUUAUCACUAAGCGGUAGCGAUUGUCGUAGUAACAAUAGUUGGCGAGACGACAACGAUGCUACGAUGGAGAUCAAGGUGUCGCGCUAGUGGCGAUGGAGAUCAUGACGAUGCUUCGGUGAUGGAGAUCAUGAGCACAAGAUGAUGAUGGCCAUAUCAUGUCACAUAUUUGAUUGCAUGUGAUGUUUAUCUUUUAUGCAUCUUAUUUUGCUUAGUACGGUGGUAGAAUUAUAAGAUGAUCCCUUACUAAAUUUCAAGGUAAAAGUGUUCUCGCUGAGUAUGCACCAUUGCGACAGUUCUUCGUGCUGAGAAACCACAUGAUGAUCAGGUGUGAUAAGCUCUGCGUUCACAUACAACGGGUGCAAGCCAGUUUUGCACACGCAGAAUACUCGGGUUAAACUUGACGAGCCUAGCAUAUGCAGAUAUGGCCUCGAAACACUAGAGACCGAAAGGUCGAGCGUGAAUCAUAUAGUAGAUAUGCUCAAUAUAGUGAUGUUCACCAUUGAAAAGUACUCCAUCUCACGUGAUGAUCGGACAUGGUUUAGUUAAUUUGGAUCACGUGAUCAUUUAGAUGAUUAGAGGGAUGUCUAUCUAAGUGGGAGUUCUUAAGUAAUAUGAUUAAUUGAACUUUAAUUUAUCAUGAACUUAGUCUUGAUAGUGUUUUGCAAAUUAUGUUGUAGAUCAAUAGCUCGCGAUGUAGCUCCCCGUUUAUUUUUGAUAUGUUCCUAGAUAAAAAUAAGUUGAAAGAUGAUAGUAGCAAUGAUGCGGACUUGGUCCGUGAUCUGAGGAUUAUCCUCAUUGCUGCACAAAAGAAUUAUGUCCUUGAUGCAGCGCUAGGUGACAGACGUACUGCAGGAGCAGAUGCAAACGUUAUGAAUGUUUGAACAAUGCUCGGUAUGAUGACUACUUGAUAGUUUAAUGCACCAUGCUUUACGGCUUAGAACCGAGACUUCAAAAACAUUUUGAACGCCAUAGAGCGUAUGAGAUGUUCCAAGAGUUGAAAUUGGUAUUUCAUACUCAUGCCCGUGUCGAGAGGUAUGAGACCUCUAACACUACUUUUCCUACAAGAUGGAGGAGAAUUACUCAGCUAGUGAGCAUGUGCUCGGAAUGUCUGGGUACUACAAUCGCUUGAAUCAAGUGAGAGUCAAUCUUCCAGAUAAGAUAGUGAUUGACAGAGUUCUCUAGUCACCAUCACCAAGUUACUGGAACUUCGUGAUGAACUAUAGUAUGCAAGGGAUGAUGAAAACGAUUCCCAAGCUCUUCGUGAUGCUGAAAUCGACGAAGGUAGAAAUCAAGAAAGAGCAUCAAGUGUUGAUUGCCAAGACCACUAGUUUCAAGAAAAGGGCAAAGGAAAGAAGGGGAACUUUCAAGAAGAAGAGCAAGCAAGUUGCUGAUCAAGGGAAGAAGCCCAAGUCUGGACCUAAGCCUGAAACUGAGUGCUUAUACUGCAAAGGAAAUGGUUACUAGAAGCGGAACUGCCUCGAAUAUUUGGCGGAUAAGAAGGAUGGCAAAGUGAACAAAGGUAUAUUUGAUAUACAUGUUAUUGAUGUGUACCUUACUAGUGCUCAUAGUCACCCCUGUGUAUUUGAUACUUGUUCGGUUGCUAAGAUUAGUAACUCGAAACAAGAGUUGCAGAAUAAAUAGAGACUAGUUGAGGAUGAAGUGACGAUGUGUGUUGGAAGUGGUUCCAAGAUUGAUAUGAUCAUCGUCGCACAUACUUUCGGGAUCAGUGUUGAACCUAAAUAAAUGUUAUUUGGUGUUUGCGUUGAGCAUGAAUAUGAUUAGAUCAUGUUUAUUGCGAUAUGGUUAUUCAUUUAAGACGGAGAAUAAUUAUUAUUCUGUUUACAUGAAUAAAACCUUCUAUGGUCAUACACCCAAUGUUGAUGGUUUAUUGAAUCUCGAUCGUGGUAACACACAUAUUCAUAAUAUUGAUGACAAAAGAUGCAAAGUUGAUAAUGAUAGUGCAACAUACAUGUGGCACUACCGUUUAGGUCAUAUUGGUGUAAAGCGCAUGAAGAAACUCCAUGCUGAUGGGCUUUUAGAAUCACUUGAUUAUGAAUCAUUUGAUACUUGCGAACCGUGCCUUAUGGGCAAGAUGGCUAAAACUCCGUUCUCCGGAACAAUGGAAUGAGAUAGUGACUCAUAGGAAAUAAUACAUACCGAUGUAUGCGGUUCAAUGAGUGUUGAUGCUUGUGGCGGGUAUCAUUAUUUUCUGACCUUCAUAGAUGAUUUGAGCAGAUAUGGGUAUAUCUACUUAAUAAAACACAAGUCUGAAACAUUUCAAAAGUUCAAGAAUUUCAGAGUGAAGUAGAGAAUCAUUGUAACAAGAAAAUAAAGUUUCUAUGAUCUGAUCGUGGAGGAGAAUAUGUAAGUUACGAGUUUGGCCUUCAUUUAAAACAAUGUGGAAUAGUUUCACAGCUCACGCCACCUGGAACACCACAGCGUAAUGGUGUGUCCGAACGUGGUAACCGCACUUUAUUGGAUAUGGUGCGAUCUAUGAUGUCUCUUACCGAUUUACCACUAUCGUUUUGGGGUUAUGCAUUAGAGACAGCUGCAUUCACUUUAAACAGCGCACCAUCAAAAUCUGUUGAGACGAUGCCAUAUGAACUAUGGUUUGGCAAGAAACCAAAGUUGUCAUUUCUUAAAGUUUGGGGCUAUGAUGCUUAUGUGAAAAAGCUUCAACCUGAUAAGCUCGAACCCAAAUCGGAGAAGUGUCUUCAUAGGAUACCCAAAGGAGAUUAUUGGGUACACCUUCUAUCAUAGAUCCGAAGGCAAGAUAUUUGUUGCUAAAAAUGGAUCCUUUCCAGAGAAGUAGUUUCUCUCGAAAGAAGUGAGUGGGAGGAAAGUAGAACUUGAUGAGGUAAUUGUACCUUCUCCCGAAUUGGAAAGGAGUUCAUCACAGAAAUCAGUUCCAAUGAUUCCUACACCAAUUAGCGAGGAAGCUAAUGAUGAUGAUCAUGAAACUUUAGAUCAAGUUACUACCGAACCUUGUAGGUCAAGCAGAGUACGGUCCGCACCAGAGUGGUAUGAUAAUCCUAUUAUGGAAGUCAUGUUACUAGACCAUGAUGAACCUAUGAACUAUGAGGAAGCGAUAUUGAGCCCAGAUUCCGCGAAAUGCCUUGAGGCCAUGAAAUCUGAGAAGGGCUCCAUGUAUGAGAACAAAGUGUGGACUUUGGUGGACUUGCCCGAUGAUCGGCAAGUCAUUAAGAAUAAAUGGAUCUUAAAGAGGAAGACGGACGCUGAUGGUAGUGUUACUAUCUAUAAAGCUCGACUUGUCGCAAAAAGGUUUUUGACAAGUUCAAGGUGUUGACUACUAUGAGAUUUUCUCAACAGUAGCGAUGCUUAAGUCUGUCCGAAUCAUGUUAGCAAUUGCCAUAUUUUAUGAAGUCUGGCAACUGGAUGUCAAGAAAUGCAUUCCUUAAUGAAUUUAUUAAAGAAGUGUUGUAUAUGAUACAACCAGAAGGUUUUGUCAAUCCUAAAGGUGCUAACAAAAUGUCCAAGCUCCAACGAUCCAUCUAUGGACUGGUGCAAGCAUCUCAGAGUUGGAAUAUACGCUUUGAUGAGUUGAUCUAAGCAUAUGGUUUUAUACAGACUUUUGGAGAAGCCUGUAUUUAUAAGAAAGUGAGUGGGAGCACUACAAUAUUUCUGAUAAGUAUAUGACAUAUUGUUGAUCGGAAAUGAUGUAGAAUUUUCUGGAAAGCACAAAGGAGAAUUUGAAAGGGAAUUUUCAAAGAAAGACCUCGGUGAAGCUGCUUACAUAUUGAGCAUUAAGAUCUAUAGAGAUAGAUCAAGACGCUUGAUAAGUUUUUUCAAUGAGUACAUACUGUCGUGGAAUAGUCACGGAAGAUGUCCUCGUGAAAGGACUUAGUCAUGGAGCCAUCGCCUCUAGGUUAGCUUAAAGGGGUUAAACAGGACAAAGGACACAGGAAUUAUACUGGUUCGGCCCCUUGUGGUGAAGGUAAAAGCCUACUAUCUAGUUUCGGGUGGUAUUGCUUAUGUCUCGAUUACCAAGGAGCAAAUCCGCUUGACCUAGCUUUCAAUCUCUUGUUUCUUCUCCUGAACCACCGCCGAGUCAUCCCUUUAUAUACACAGGUUGACGCCCAACGGCUCACGGAGUCCAGACCGGCUCAUAGACAACGUGUCCGGCUCGGUGACUACUUUUACAUGCCUUACAAUACAAGUCUUACAUAUAUGUUGGUUUAUACCUACGGGCCUUGAGUCGCCCUUGGGCCUUGGGCCCUUGGCCGUUAACCGCUAUCUUUAAUGUCUUCAUGGGAUUCAUAUCAAGAGUCACCAUAGGUAUAACCUGGCCCCUCCUGGGCGGGUCAUACCAAUAGUUAUAUCCCCAACAUUAGGCCCCAGGUUGAUUUGAACUUGUUCAUGUCAAUCUUCAACACUUAAAAGAAUCUUCCCCUCUUUCUUGUGCGAGAAAUUGUAACCCGCCAUGACGUCACCUCCUGGGAUUGCGAUAACCCGCCAUGACAUCACCUGUCAUAAAUUCACACAAUAUCCGACAUAUCUCAAUGGAUCUUUGUUUCAAUAACUGCCCCAAGAAUCGAGGCGCCUAAGCAGCUGGAUAACCACGUUCUAGCCUCCUCAUUUUUCGCGCCCACUUAUUGGCCUUCCUUAUAAAUAGGGUCGACCAGUUUCUUCUCAUUCUCCCCCUUUCCAUCAUCUUCUUCCUCGCGCGACCCUGUGCCGCUUGAGCUCCCCCGCCGCCGCGAAGCACCUUGUCCUCCUCGACUUUGGCCGCUUCAUCAACCUGUGUCGGAUCAGAGUACACCGGCGCUCCACCAUAGUCGAAUCUGCACCUGUAAGUGCUCUUCCUCCAGUGCGUCAGAUCGCAUUAGGGUUUCAGAUGUUUGUCGUGUUCUUCGUAGUUUCUUCUUAGUUCUUCCACCGUAGCUCCUUUUGAUCUGAAAACGGCAUAGAAUUUGUGCGGCAGUAGUUUUUGCCCUUGAUUCAAUACCAGCGGACCUAUUUCCUUGAGAAUAGAUCUCAUUAGAGCUUAUGAACUCCGCGGUAUAGUUUUAGGUCUUGAUUUAUUUCCUUUUUCCACACGGCGCCAGAUCCAAAUUUAUGAUUGUAGCCUGUGAAACUUGUUUGUCCAACACUUAGUAAAAGUUCUUGCUUCUUGAUAGAUCCACCUAGUCAUGGCGACUCACAUCAUCGGCUGUAGUUAAACUCAAUGCUCAACAAAUUUCUCCUUUGAUAGACAUCAAACUGCUCAUGGCAGCUUACAUAACUGCCAUUCUGCAUAUGUACUGUAAUAUUUUCCGUCCGACUUAGCUUGAACCGGCAAAUUGGUUCUUUUUCCUUUUUAGGCUCCCUUUUCCAUAAUGGCACCCAAAGCAACCACUUCCACAAUGGCGCCCAAGACGACCACUUCCUGCAACUGGGUUCCUUCCAUCAUCACAGAAAACACGCUUGAAGACUUUGUGAAAACCGGAUACUUGCCGAAAAAGUCUGUCAUGUCUUACCACUCCCCCAAGGCGUCAGAAGAAAAACCUCAUCCAAAGGAAGGCGAAGUCAUUGUCUUCACGGAUCAUAUGAAACGGGGCUUCUCACCUCCCGACUCUAAGUUCUUCAGGGACGUUCUGCAUCUUUUCAACCUGCAUCCUCAAGACAUCAGACCCAAUCCCAUGACUAACAUAUGCAAUUUUCAAGUAUUCUGCGAAGUCUACCUUCAAGAGGAGCCCACUGUGGAGUUAUUCAGAGAGUCCUUCUAUUUAAGCUGCCAGAAUGAAUAUUCCAACAGACCCAAUUUGGAGCUUGGUAGGAUCUCAAUCCAACGACGGAGAGAUGCUAUUUUCCCAUACGCAGACCUCCGAGUCACCCCAAAGACUGGAAUCAGACAUGGUUCUACUGCAAAGAUACCUCUCCGGCUGAUGAGAACCCACUGCUCGGCUUUCGCACCCUGCACCUUGAGUCAAAUCACCCUUUCCCUGACAAGCUGACAACUGCUGAACGCAAGAAACUCGCCCAAGUAUUGCUAAGGUUAAGGCUCUAUUGGGAAACGGCUUAACCAUCAUUGAUUUAGUUCAAUGAUGAGUCUCAUGGCGGGUCAUUCCCUUAAGUCGCCGCUCCGUUUUGAUGUGCACCUACACCGGCGCCAAGAAAGAUCCACUACGCCACAGCUCUGAUGACUUAACAGAUGACAUCAUCAAUGAGAUGACAAAGUCUCUCCUGCAUGAAAGUCUAGCAGACUACAGCAAAGUGGGCCUGAGCCCUUUCUGCAAGUCUAACCCGACACCAGGGGUAAGCCGCCAAAUCGUUUAUUUUGCCUUUAGCCUUAAAUACUUUGUUUUAACUCAACCUUGAUGACUUUUACAGGCUGAUGGCGAUUUCUGGAAGAAAGAAUAUGAUCAUGAAGCUGCCAAGAGGGCCAGGAGGGCCAAGAAAGCCGCCAAGAAGACCACCAAGAAGAAAGGAAAGAAACCUAGCGCUUCUGAGCUGCUUGUGCUGGACGACACCUCUGAGUCGAAGAUAGCCCUUGACUCUCUUGGCUCCUUUUUCAACCAUCUUAUUGACAUUGACUAUCAUCAGGAUGACACGGGGACCAGUCAAGCUCUUGAAGAAGAGGUAACUAUCAUCUCAUCUGACUCCGAGCCUUUGCCAAGACAGAAAACCCGAAGAGUAACCCGGAAAGUAAGAUUUUCACACCCCUUAGCUCAUCUGGAUCCUGAUUUUUUUGAAGCAACAUCAGCAUGAGAGCCGGCGACAAACUCGGACUAGCAAAGAUGCAGAACUAUCCUCCAGCUUACCAAAUAUGCCGAGGAAGCGCCAAAAUGAGGUCACCCCCGACUUAAACUCUUUUUAUCCUUUGGAGGGUCUUACUCGUCAACCACUCAAUUCUUCCGACUCAAAUUAUCAGGAAACAUCUCAUUCCUCUUCUGGCAAUUCAAUUCAAUCUAAUCUGCCGGCUUUCAAGACCGCUCCUAGGUAAUAGCGAUUUACUUAUCCUUUAUUCAUUAUGAUCCUCUUAUACUUAUACUGACUCUUAUGACUCAUGCAGUGGAAAAGACAAGCCCAGUAAGAAGGCCAGAGUGAAUAAGCUGGUCGAAGACCCAAAAGCUAGUGGAUCAGAGCCACAAACGGCAGCACCAGAAGACCAUGUUCCUCCAUCAUCAGAGCCGAUUCUUAAUGACCCGACUUCUGACCCACCUAUGGAGCGAGCCAGUGAUGCUCCUUUGAACCCUGAAGUCUCAAAUCCAUUGAAGACGGCCGACACUCAUGAUGAUGACGUGGUGAUCACCAACACCAGCUUUCGAGAACCGGGAAGACCGACUGUUUUGGCCAAACAUUCUGCCAAGGAGGAACACAUUCAACGGCGAAAGGUGAAGUUUGACGUUGCCAACUAGUCUCAACUGAGCAUUGGUGAGGUAUAUUCUGGCUACCUCAGUCAAGUGAACUCCAGCCGUGACAUUGAAGUUGAGAUGGUGAAACAGAUGCACCAAAAAUUUGAGGUAUGAGCUCUUCUUUAAUAAGUUAUGCACAUCCCGCCAGCCCCCAAAUCUACUGUUUAUGAGUAGUUUGAAUAUGAUGUAGACUUGAUUUCUAUGAGCAUAAAUAAUGAUCUUUGAAAGAAUUCUUCCAUUCCGGCUUAAAGCCAUCCGGCUCAAAAUGAAGCUGUAAAUAUAAACGCUGAAUCCAUAGCCCCUAAGGGUCGGUUUAAUCAGCAUGAAUGAGCCGAUCUUUCAUAGUGUUGAAAACAUUACUUACUUGUGUAGCUCUCAUGAGUCGGUUGUUUGUAGCAAAGUUAUCAUAAGACAAGCAAUAUGCAUUAGCCCCCAAGUGCCAAAUACUCUUGCUCGCAAAGUGUUUGGGACUUAUUCACGUAAGCCGUUGUAUGAAGUUUUCCAAUUAACAUUAGUCCCCAAGUGUCAAGUACUCUUGCUUGCAAAGUGCUUGGGACUUCCUUGUUUUAUGAGUCAUAUUUUUGAACCGGCAUAUGCACAGGACACCACUGCUCAACUUGAAUCUCAAUUUGGUGAUUUGAAAUCCUGGCUGGAGUUGCAAGAAUCUGAGACCCAGAAAGCAAACUCCAAAUUUGAAUUCAGUCUGACUGAAUCGGAGAAACUGAAAGCCGACUUUGAAGUUGAGAAAAAAGCCUGGGCUGAAGAGAAGAUUGCAUUGACACAACGGGCUGAGAAAGUGGAGGCGGCUCUUGAGGAGGUGACCACAGAGCUUUCCGUCUUAAAAAGCCAUGUAUCGCAAAUGGUUUCGGCUAUCUUUGGUAAGUCGCCUUAUGAUUGUCAAUUUUGAAUAUCUUCCAGGAUGACAUGAAUCGCCGCUAACCCGUCCAUAAUCAUUAUGCAGGCCCGAGAAGUACCAAUCUGAACCAAGAUAUGGUUGUGAAACUGAAGGCGGUUUACACACUGGUAGAAUAGCUGUAUGUCGGGGCCCGGCGCGCACUGGCAACAAUUUCUCCAUCUAACCAAGCUCCAACGCUCUUAGUUGAAGUCUUGAGGAAGCUUUCCAUGCUGCCUGGGCGGUUUAGUGAGAUGAAGCGAUCAUGUGCAAGAGCCGGAGCUGUGACAGCUUUGAGUCGGGCCAAGGCUUGGCUGCUAGAGCUAGACCCGACUGAUAUAUCAACCGGGUAUCCAAUCUUAAAAGAAGACGGUACCUUGUUUAGCAAGAAAGACUUUGCCAACUGCGUGAAAGACAUACGUCGCCUGGCGAGUCUGAUUGCUAAUGAGACACACCUGUCCAAAUAUCAGCUGGCUUAUGACUUAGAAAAUCAGAAGAUGCCAAUGCCAUUGUACAAAGUGCAUGAUCUGAUACCCCCAAUCCAUAAGCACACUUUCGCCCCUGAAGUUGACCCGGAUGAACUCAUUGAUGAUGAGGCCGAAUUCCAAGCUUUGAGUGGCAUUGACUGGUCAUCCCCAACCUUCCAGGAAGUCGAAGAGGACGAAGACACGGAGAGGGAUGAUCCAGAAGCAUCAGGCCAUCAAAGCCAAGAGGAUUGAGCCGCGGGGUGGUUCAUGUUGGUGAUCUUCCGAAAAACAGUUAAUCAUUUGGACUCGUUGAGUCAUGUAAUAGAGUAGCCAUAACUUUGAUCUGUCGUGCCAUCGCGCAUGUUUAUGUUAUUCUCAACACUAUUAAGCCACCACUUGGAAACAUCUUUUGAGACUUAUCAUGAUGUUGAUUGGUGCAGACGAAUUUUCUUGAUAUAUCCUGCACACAAAUAGAUCGCAAGAGCCCUUUGUUGGAGAUCGUUGCAGAAAAUAAAAAUUUUCUAUGCAUCACCAAGAUCAAUCUAUGGAGUCAUCUAGCAACGAGAUAGAGAGGAGUGCAUCUACAUACCCUUGUAGAUCGCGAGCGGAAGCGUUCAAGAGAACGGGGUUGAUGGAGUCGUACUCAUCGUGAUCCAAAUCACCGAUGAUCCUAGCGCCGAACGGACGGCACCUCCGUGUUCAACACACGUAUGGAGCGGAGACCUCUCCCGCACCUUGGUCCAGCAAGGAGGAGGGAGAGGUUGAGGAAGAAAGCUCCAACAGCAGCACGACGGCGUGCUGGUGAUGGAGAGGCAGUACUCCGGCAGGGCUUCGCCAAGCUUAUGCGGAGGAGGAGAGGUGUUGGGGAGGGGAGGGGCUGCGCCUUGGAGGUGUGUGUGCAGCCCUCCCCUCGCCCCUCUAUUUAUAGGGGGAGGAGAAAGGGGGCCGGCCCCUCUAGAUGAGAUCUAGAGGGGGGCAGCGACCAAGGGGGGGGGGGACUUGCCCCCCAAGCAAGGGGGGCGCCCCCCUUAGGAUUUCACCCCAACCCUAGGUGCAUGGGCCCAAGGGGGGAUGCGCCCAGCCCUCUAAGGGCUGGUUCCCUUCCCACUAUGGCCCUUGAGGCCCUCCGGGAGAGGUGGCCCCUCCCGGUGGACCCUCGGAACCCUUCCGGUGGCCCCGGUACAAUACCGGUAUGCCCCGGAACUUUUCCGGUGACCGUAUGUCAACUUCCUAUAUAUAAAUCUUCAGCUCCGGAGCAUUCCGGAACUCCUCGUGACGUCCGGGAUCUCAUCCGGGACUUUGAACAACAUUCAGUAAUCACAUACAAGUCUUCCUAAUAACCCUAGCGUCACCGAACCUUAAGUGUGUAGACCCUACGGGUUCGGGAAUCACAUAGACAUGACCGAGACAGCUCUCUGUCCAAUAACCAACAGAGGGAUAUGGAUACCCAUGUUGGCUCCCACAUGUUCCAGGAUGAUCUCAUCGGAUGAACCACGAUGUCGAGGAUUCAAGUAAUCCCAUAUAUAAUUCCCUUUGUCACACGGUAUGUUACUUGCCCGAGAUUCGAUCGUCGGUAUCCCAAUACCUCGUUCAAUCUCGUUUCCGGAAAGUCACUUUACUCGUUCCGUAAUGCAUGAUCCCGUGACCAACCACUUGGUCACAUUGAGCUCAUUAUGUUGAUGCAUUACCGAGUGGCCCCAGAGAUACCUCUCCGUCAUACGGAGUGACAAAUCCCAGUCUCGAUUCAUGCCAACCCAAGAGACACUUUCGGAGAUACUUGUAGUGCACCUUUAUAGUCACCCAGUUACGUUGUGACGUUUGGUACACCCAAAGCACUCCUGCGGUAUCCGGGAGUUACACAAUCUCAUGGUCUAAGAAACUGAUACUUGACAUUAGAAAAGCUUUAGCAAACGAACUACACGAUCUUGUGCUAUGCUUAGGAUUGGGUCUUGUCCAUCACAUCAUUCUCCUAAUGAUGUGAUCCCGUUAUCAAUGACAUCCAAUGUCCAUAGUCAGGAAACCAUGACUAUUUGUUGAUCAACGAGCUAGUCAACUAGAAGCUCACUAGGGACACAUUGUGGUCUAUGUAUUCACACAUGUAUCACUGUUUCCGGUUAAUACAAUUAUAGCAUGAACAAUAGACAAUUAUCAUGAACAAGGAAAUAUAAUAAUAAUCAGUUUAUUAUUGCCUCUAGGGCAUAUUUCCAACAGUCUCCCACUUGCACUAGAGUCAAUAAUCUAGUUACACUGUGAUGAAUCGUACACCCAUAGAGUUCUGGUGUUGAUCAUGUUUUGCUCGCGGAAGAGGUUUAGUCAACGGAUCUGCGACAUUCAGAUCCGUAUGCACUUUGCAAAUAUCUAUAUCUCCAUCUUGAACAUUUUCACGAAUGGAGUUGAAGCGACGCUUGAUGUGCCUGGUCUUCUUAUGAAACCUGGGCUCCUUUGCAAGGGCAAUAGCUCUAGUGUUGUCACAGAAGAGAGUGAUCGGCCCCGACGCAUUGGGAAUAACUCCUAGGUUGGUGAUGAACUCCUUCAUCCAGAUUGCUUCAUGCACUGCCUUCGAGGCUGCCAUGUACUCCGCUUCACAUGUAGAUCCCGCCACGAUGCUCUGCUUGCUGCUGCACUAGCUUACUGCCCCACCAUUCAAAAUAUACACGUAUCCGGUUUGUGACUUGGAGUCAUCCAGAUCUGUGUCAAAGCUAGCAUCGACGUAACCCUUUAUGACGAGCUCUUCGUCACCUCCAUAAACGAGAAACAUAUCCUUAGUCCUUUUUAGGUACUUCAGGAUAUUCUUGACCGCUGUCCAGUGUUCCAUGCCGGGAUUACUUUGGUGUCUUGCAACCAAACUUACGACAAGGUUUACAUCAUGUCUGGUACACAGCAUGGCAUACAUAAUAGACCCUUUGGCCAAGGCAUAGGGGAUGACACUCAUCUUUUCUUUAUCUUCUGCCAUGGUCGGGGAUUGAGCCGAGCUCAAUUUCACACCUUGCAACACAGGCAAGAACCCCUUCUUGGACUGAUCCAUAUUGAACUUCUUCAAUAUCUUGUCAAGGUAUGUGCUUUGUGAAAGACCUAUGAGGCAUCUCGAUCUAUCUCUAUACAUCUUGAUACCUAAUAUAUAAGCAACUUCUCCAAGGUCCUUCAUUGAAAAACACUUAUUCAAGUAGGCCUUUAUGUUGUCCAAGAGUUCUAUAUCAUUUCCCAUCAAAAGUAUGUCAUCCACAUAUAAUAUGAGAAAUGCCACAGAGAUCCCACUCACUUUCUUGUAAACGCAGGCUUCUCCAUAAGUGUGCAUAAACCCAAAUGCUUUGAUCAUCUCAUCAAAGCGAAUGUUCCAACUCCGAGAUGCUUGCACCAGCCCAUAAAUGGAUCGCUAGAGCUUGCGUACCUUGUUAGCAUUCUUAGGAUUGACAAAACCUUACGGCUGCAUCAUAUACAAUUCUUCCUUAAGAUAGCCGUUAAGGAAUGCCGUUUUCACGUCCAUUUGCCAUAUCUCAUAAUCAUAGUAUGCGGCAAUUGCUAACAUGAUUCGGACGGACUUCAGCUUCACUACGGGAGAGAAAGUCUCAUCGUAGUCAACCCCUUGAACUUGCUGAUAACCCUUAGCGACAAGUCAAGCUUUAUAGAUGGUAACAUUACCAUCCGCGUCCGUCUUCUUCUUAAAGAUCCAUUUAUUUUCUAUCGCUCGCCGAUCAUCGGGCAAGUCUGUCAAAGUCCAUACUUUGUUUUCAUACAUGGAUCCUAUCUCGGAUUUCAUGGCUUCAAGCCAUUUGUUGGAAUCUGGGCCCGCCAUCGCUUCUUCAUAGUUCGAAGGUUCACCAUUGUCUAACAACAUGAUUUCCAGGACAGGGUUGCCAUACCACUCCAGUGUGGAACGUGUCCUUGUGGACCUACGAAGUUCAGUAGUAACUUGAUCCGAAGUACCUUGAUAAUCAUCAUUAAUUUCCUCUCUAGUCGGUGCAGGCACCACAGGAACAUCUUCCUGAGCUGCGCUACUUACCAGUUCAAGAGGCAGUACUUCAUCAAGUUCCACUUUCCUCCCACUUACUUCUUUCGAGAGAAACUCUUUCUCCAGAAAGGACCCAUUCUUGGCAACAAAGAUCUUGCCUUCGGAUCUGAGGUAGAAGGUAUACCCAAUGAAUUCCUUAGGGUAUCCUAUGAAGACACAUUUUUCCGACUUGGGUUCGAGCUUUUCAGGUUGAAGUUUCUUGACAUAAGCAUCGCAUCCCCAAACUUUUAGAAAUAACAGCUUAGGUUUCUUUCCAAACCAUAAUUCAUGCGGUGUCGUCCCAACGGAUUUAGACGGUGCCCUAUUUAAAGUGAAUGUAGCUGUCUCUAAAGCGUAUCCUCAAAAUGGAAGUGGUAAAUCGGUAAGAGACAUCAUAGACCGCACCAUAUCAAUAGAGUGCGAUUACGACGUUCGGACACACCAUUACACUGAGGUGUUCUAGGCGGCGUGAGUUGUGAAACAAUUCCACAUUUCCUUAAGUGCGUACCAAACUCGUGACUUAAAUAUUCUCCCCCACAAUCUGAUUGUAAGAACUUUAUUUUUCUGUCACAUUGAUUCCCUACCUCAUUCUGAAAUUCCUUGAACUUUUCAAAGGUCUCUGACUUGUGUUUCCUUAAGUAGACAUACCCAUAUCUACUUAAGUCAUCAGUGAGGGUGAGAACAUAAUGAUAGCCAUCGCGAGCCUCAACGCUCAUUGGACCGCACACAUCAGUAUGUAUAGUCUCCAAUAAGUUGGUUGCUCGCUCCGUUGUUCCGGAGAACGGAGUCUUGGUCAUUUUGCCCAUGAGGCAUGGUUCACACGUGUCAAAUGAUUCGAAAUCAAGAGAUUCCAAAAGUCCAUCUGUAUGGAGCUUCUUCAUGCGUUUGACACCAAUGUGACCAAGGCGGCAGUGCCACAGAUAUGUGGGACUAUCAUUAUCAAUCUUACAUCUUUUGGUAUUCACACUAUGAAUAUGUGUAACAUCACGUUCGAGAUUCAUUAAGAAUAAACCAUUGACAAGCGGGGCAUGACCAUAAAACAUAUCUCUCAUAUAAAUAGAACAACCAUUAUUCUCGGAUUUAAAUGAGUAGCCAUCUCAUAUUAAACGAGAUCCAGAUACAAUGUUCAAGCUCAAAGCUGGCACUAAAUAACAAUUAUUGAGGUUUAAAACUAAUCCUGUGUAUAAAUGUAGAGGUAGCGUGCCGACGGCGAUCACAUCGACCUUGGAACCAUUCCCGACGCGCAUCGUCACCUCAUCCUUCUCCAGUCUCCUCUUAUUCCGCAGCUCCUGUUUUGAGUUACAAAUAUGAGCAACUGCACCGGUAUCAAAUACCCAUGAGCUACUACGAGUACUGGUAAGGUACACAUCAAUAACAUGUAUAUCAUAUAUACCUUUGGUGUUGCCGGCCUUCUUAUCCGCUAAGUACAUGGGGCAGUUCCGCUUAUAGUGACCGUUCCCCUUGCAAUAAAAGCACUCAGUCUCAGGUUUGGGUCCGUGCUUUGGCUUCUUCCCGGUAACUGGUUUACCGGGCGCGGCAACUCCCUUUCCGUCCUUCUUGAAGUUCUUAUUACCCUUGCCUUUCUUGAAACUAGUGGUUUUAUUGGCCAUCAACACUUGAUGUUCCUUUUUGAUUUCUACCUCCGCUGAUUUCAGCAUUGAAAAUACCUUAGGAAUAGUUUUCACCAUCCCCUGCAUAUUGUAGUUCAUCACAAAGCUCUUGUAGCUAGGUGGGAGCGACUGGAGGAUUCUGUCGAUGACCGCCUCAUCCGGGAGGUUAAUGUCCAGCUGGGACAAGCGGUUGUGCAACCCAGACAUUUUGAGUAUGUGCUCGCUGACAGAACUAUUUUCCUCCAUCUUACAACUAUAGAACUUGUCGGAGACUUCAUAUCUCUCGACCCGGGCAUGAGCAUGGAAAACCAUUUUUAGCUCUUGGAACAUCUAUAUGCUACGUUUUGCUCAAAACGCUUUUGGAGCCCGGUUCUAAGCUGUAAAGCAUGCCGCACUGAACGAGGGAGUAAUCAUCAACACGUGACUGCCAAGCAUUCAUAACAUCUUGGUUCGCUGGGACGGGUGCUUCACCGAGUGGUGCUUCUAGGACAUAUGCUUUCUUGGCAGCUAUGAGGAUGAUCCUCAGGUUCCGGACCCAGUCCGUAUAGUUGCUGCCAUCAUCUUUCAGCUUGGUUUUCUCUAGGAACGCGUUGAAGUUGUGGUUGACAUGAGCGUGGGCCAUUUGAUCUACAAGACAUUUUGCAAAGGUUUUAGACUAAGAUCAUGAUAAUUAAGUUCAUCUAAUCAAAUUAUUUAAUGAACUCCCACUCAGAUAUACAUCUCUCUAGUCAUCUAAGUGAUACAUGAUCCGAGUCAACUAGGCCGUGUCCGAUCAUCACGUGAGAUGGACUAGUCAUCAUCGGUGAACAUCCCCAUGUUGAUCGUAUCUUCUAUAUGACUCAUGUUCGACCUUUCGGUCUCUUGUGUUCCGAGGCCAUGUCUGUACAUGCUAGGCUCGUCAAGUCAACCUAAGUGUUUUGCAUGUGUAAAUCUGGCUUACACCCGUUGUAUGUGAACGUUAGGAUCUAUCACACCCAAUCAUCACGUGGUGCUUCGAAACAACAAACUUUCGCAACGGUGCACAGUUAGGUGGAACACUUUCUUGAAAUUGUUAUGAGGGAUCAUCUUAUUUACUACCGUCGUUCUAAGCAAAUAAGAUGCAAAAACAUGAUAAACAUCACAUGCAAUCAAAUAGUGACAUGAUAUGGCCAAUAUCAUUUUGCUCCUUUGAUCUCCAUCUUCGGGGCGCCAUGAUCAUCAUCGUCACCGGCAUGACACCAUGAUCUCCAUCAUCAUGAUCUCCAUCAUCGUGUCUCCAUGAAGUUGUCUCGCCAACUAUUACUUCUACUACUAUGGCUAACGGUUUAGCAAAGAAGUAAAGUAAUUACAUGGCGUUAUUCAGUGACACGCAGGUCAUACAAUAAAUAAAGACAACUCUUAUGGCUCCUGCCAGUUUUCAUACUCAUCGACAUGCAAGUCGUGAUUCCUAUUACAAGAACAUGAUCAAUCUCAUACAUCACAUAUAUUUCAUUCAUCACAUCCUUUUGGCCAUAUCACAUCACAAGGCAUAUGCUGCAAAAACAAGUUAGACGUCCUCUAAUUGUUGUUGCAAGUUUUUACGUGGCUGCUAUAUGGUUCUAGCAAGAAUGUUUCUUACCUACGCCAAAACUACAACCUGAUAUGCCAAUUUCUAUUUACCCUUCAUAAGGACCCUUUUCAUCGAAUCCGAUCCGACUAAAGUGGGAGAGACAGACACCCACUAGCCACCUUAUGCAACUAGUGCAUGUCAGUCGGUGGAACCUGUAUCACGUAAGCGUACGUGUAAGGUCGGUCCGGGCCGCUUCAUCCCACGAUGCCGCCGAAACAAGAUAAGACUAGUAGUGGCAAGUAAAUUGACAAAAUCUACGCCCACAACAAAAUUGUGUUCUACUCGUGCAUAGAAACUACGCAUAGACCUAGCUCUGAUACCACUGCUGGAGAUCGUUGCAGAAAAUAAAAAAAUUCUACACAUCACCAAGAUCAAUCUAUGGAGUCAUCUAACAACGAGAGAGAGAGGAGUGCAUCUACAUACCCUUGUAGAUCGCGAGCGGAAGCAUUCAAGAGAAUGGGGUUGAUAGAGUCGUACUCGUCGUGAUCCAAAUCACCGAUGAUCCUAGCGUUGAACGGACGGCACCUCCGCGUUCAACACACAUACAGAGCGGAGACGUCUCCCGCGCCUUGAUCUAGGAAGGAGGAGGGAGAGGUUGAGGAAGAAAGCUCCAAUAGCAGCACGGCAGCGUGGUGGUGAUGGAGAGGCAGUACUCCGGCAGGGCUUCGCCAAGCUUCUGCGGAGGAGGAGAGGUGUUGGGGAGGGGAGGGGCUGCGCCUUGGAGGUGUGUGUGCAGCCCUCCCCUCGCCCCUCUAUUUAUAGGGGGAGGAGCAAGGGGGCCGGCCCCCUCUAGAUGAGAUCUAGAGGGGGGGCGGCGACCAAGGGGGGGGGGACUUGCCCCCCAAUCAAGGGAGGACGCCCCCCUUAGGAUUUCACCCCCAACCCUAGGCGCAUGGGCCCAAGGGGGGAUGCGCCCAGCCCUCUAAGGGCUGGUUCCCUUCCCACUACGGACCUUGAGGCCCUCCGGGAGAGGUGGCCCCUCACGGUGGACCCCCGAACCCUUCCGGUGGCCCCGGUACAAUACUGGUAUGCCCCGAAACUUUUCCGGUGACCGUAUGUCAACUUCCUAUAUAUAAAUCUUCACCUCCGGACCAUUCCGGAACUCCUCGUGACGUCCAACAUCUCAUCCGGGACUCCGAACAACAUUCGGUAAUCACAUACAAGUCUUCCUAAUAACCAUAGCGUCACCGAACCUUAAGUGUGUAGACCCUACGGGUUCGGGAAUCACGUAGACAUGACUGAGACAUCUCUCCGGCCAAUAACCAACAGCGGGAUCUGGAUACCCAUGUUGGCUCCCACAUGUUCCACGAUGAUCUCAUCGAAUGAACCACGAUGUCGAGGAUUCAAGUAAUCCCGUAUACAAUUCCCUUUGUCACACGGUUCGUUACUUGCCCGAGAUUCGAUCGUCGGUAUCCCAAUACCUCGUUCAAUCCCAUUUCCGGCAAGUCACUUUAUUCGUUCCGUAAUGCAUGAUCCCAUGACCAACCACUUGGUCACAUUGAGCUCAUUAUGAUGAUGCAUUACUGAGUGGGCCUAGAGAUACCUCUCCAUCAUACGGAGUGACAAAUCCCAGUCUCGAUUCGUGCCAACCCAACAGACACUUUUGGAGAUACCUGUAGUGCACCUUUAUAGUCACUUAGUUACGCUAUGACGCUUGGUACACCCAAAGCACUCCUACGGUAUCCGGGAGUUACACAAUCUCAUGGUCUAAGAAAUUGAUACUUGACACUAGAAAAGCUUUAGCAAACGAACUACACGAUCUUGUGCUAUGCUUAGGAUUGGGUCUUGUCCAUCACAUCAUUCUCCUAAUGACGUGAUCCCGUUAUCAAUGACAUCCAAUGUCCAUAGUCAGGAAACCAUGACUAUCUAUUGAUCAACGAGCUAGUCAACUAGAAGCUCACUAGGGACACGUUGUGGUCUAUGUAUUCACACAUGUAUCACUGUUUCUGGUUAAUACAAUUAUAGCAUGAACAAUAGACAAUUAUCAUGAACAAGGAAAUAUAAUAAUAAUCAUUUUAUUAUUGCCAUUAGGGCAUAUUUCCAACACCCUUGGCGGUUCACCACAGGGCGGAUCAUAAUAUCUCAUGUAUAUAACCACUGAGGUGUAAAACAUAGUCAUGGGUAAGGCUGGUAUGAACCAGAACUUUUAAACAUACUAUAACAACAAUAUCAUACCUGUGAUACUGUAUUGAACUGCCGGCUUAUGUUACAUGUGCAGUAAGGGUGAUAUCCCAAUCUUGAGAAGCUAAUACAUCCAAAUACUUGUGUUUGUCAUAUGCUGGCGACUUAUCGUCGAAAGUCAAGCCGGGUGAAAUAGAGACCACAUAUAUGCUUCAGAUAUGAGCAAAAAGGUAUCCAGAGAAACCCAAAAGACUGUUUCAAAAAGCUCAAGUCAAAAAAGAGAGAAAAAACACAAGGCUCUGAUUCACAUACAAUCAGUAAGCCGGACCGAAAGGGUUAAUGGCUAUGAUUCGAAUACGACCAGGAAGCCCCCAAGUGGUUUGUGGCAUUACGCCGAUCAAGAGGGUACCGACAGCUAUGUUUUCUUUGGUGAAUACACGUAUGUUUGAACAGGAAGCCCCCAAGUGACCAUGAAGCUUUUUGACGACUCUAAUUCGAAUACGAUCAGUAAGCCGGACCAAAAGGGGUUAAGCUAUGAUUCGGAUAUGAUCUAGCCCCCAAAUGAUCAAAUUGUUUGAACGGUUAUGAUUCGAAUAUGAUCAGGAAGCCGUGCCGAAGGGGUUAAGCUUGAUUUGAAUACGAUUAGUCCCCAAUGGUCUAAAUAUUUAACGACCUGGGUUCGAAUACGAUUAGCAAGUCGGACCACCAGGGGUUAAGCUAUGAUUCGAAUAAGAUCAAGCCCCCAAGUGAUCAAAAGAUUUGAACAGCUAUGAUUUGAAUAUGAUCAGGAAGCUGUGCCAAAGGAGUUAAGCUAGAUUCGAAUACGAUCAGCCCCCAAUGGUUUAAAUGUUUAACGACCUGGAUUCGAAUACGAUCAGCAAGUUGGACCGCCAGGGGUUAAGCUGUGAUUCGAAUAUGAUCUAGCCCCCGAGUGAUCAAAAGGUUUGAACAACUAUGAUUCGAAUACAAUCAAGAAGUUGUGCCAAAGGAGUUAAGCUAGAUUCGAAUACGAUCAGCCCCCAAUGGUCUUGGAAGUAUGGCGAAGAAGAAUCAUUAUUGAGGAUAAAAAUGACAAAGGUCUUGCUUUAUUAUAAUCAUCAUAAUAUAUACAUUGUCAUAAUAUGUACAUCAUAAGAGCCGGUGGCUCAAGUGUAGUAAGGCCGAAGAUGAGCAAUAUUCCAUGGUCGACGGGUCUCCUCCUCCGACUUACGUGAGUAUUUGUGCUCUCGAAUAUCGAUAAGGUAGUAUGACCCAUUGUUCAAGUUCUUAUUGACCACAAAGGGCCCUUCCCAAGGUGGGGAUAACUUGUGCACAUCAGUUUGAUCCCGGAUGAGCCGGAGCACCAAAUCGCCUUCUUGAAAGGUUCUAGACUUGACCCGACGGUUGUGGUAAUGGCGCAGAUCUUGUUGGUAAAUAGCCGAGCGGGCUGCCGCCGGGUCAUGCUUAUCAUCUAACAGGUCAAGUGCCUCUUGACGUGCUUGUUCAUUAUCAGCCUCAACAUAGGCCACCACACGAGGCGAGUCAUGAUGGAUGUCACUAGGAAGAACCGCCUCUGCUCCAUAAACCAUGAAGAAAUGCGUAUAACCCGUAGAUCUAUUGGGGGUAGUAUUGAUACUCCAUAUCACCGAAGUUAACUCCUCCACCCAACAACCCGACGUCCGUUGCAAAGGAACCAUAAGCCGGGGCAUGAUGCCUUUCAAAAUUUCUUGAUUGGCUCUUUCAGCUUGACCAUUGGACUGGGGUGAGCUACUGAUGAAACGUCAAGUCGAAUAUGCUCACAUUGACAAAACUCCUCCAUGGCACCCUUGGACAGAUUAGUGCCGUUGUCAGUGAUAAUGCUGUGUGGAAAACCAAAACGAAAAAUCACCUUUUUGAGGAAUUGAACCACCGUGGCUGCGUCACGCUUACUGACUGGCUCUGCCCCAACCCACCUUUUGAAUUUAUCAACCGCCACCAAAAGGUGGGUCUUUUUAUCCUUGGACCUUUUAAAACGCCCAACCAUAUCAAGCCCCCAGACCACAAAUGGCCAAGUGAUUGGAAUCAUCCUCAAUUCUUGGGCCGGCACAUGAGCUCGCCGUGAGAUUUCUGACAACCGUCACAUUUACUGACCAAAUCCUCUGCAUCCGCAUGAGCCGUCAGCCAAUAAAAUCCAUGACGAAAAGCUUUGGCCACAAGGGACUUUGAACCGGCAUGAUGACCACAGUCCCCUUCAUGAAUCUCACGAAGGAUCUCACGGCCUUCUUCGGGAAAGACGCAACGUUGAAACGCCCUAGUGACACUGCGAUGGUGUAACUUGCCAUUGGCAAUUGUCAUUGACUUAGACUGCCGGGUUAUCUACCUGGCUAAAGUUUCAUCCUCAGGUAACUCACCCCGAGUCAUAUAAGCCAAAUAUGGUACUGUCCAAUCUGCGAUAGCGUGAAGAGCCGCCACCAAUUGUGCCUCCGGGUCAGGAACAACCAGAUCCUCCUCUGUAGGCAAUUUGACAGAAGGAUUAUGAAGAACAUCCAAAAAGGUGGUAGACGGGACCGGCUUACGCUGAGACCCUAGACGACUUAAGGCGUCAGCCACCUCAUUUUUCCUGCGAUCAAUGUGUUCCACCCGAUAGCCCUUGAAAUGUCCAGCAAUUGCAUCAACCUCACGGCGAUAAGCCGCCAUCAGUGGGUCCUUGGAAUCCUAUUUGCCCGAAACCUGCUGAGCUACCAAGUCUGAGUCACCGAAACAUCUCACCCGGCUUAAGUUCAUCUCCUUAGCCAUCCGAAGACCAUGAGCAAGGCUUCAUACUCAGUUGCAUUGUUAGUACAAGGAAACAUCAACCUUAAAACAUAACAGAACUUGUCACCUAGAGGGGAAGCUAACACCACUCCAGCCCCCGAGCCUUCCAAUUGCCUAGACCCAUCAAAGUGAAUAGUCCAAUAUGUGUUAUCUGGCUUCUCUUCACGCAUCCGUAGUUCUGUCCAGUCAUUGAUGAAAUCCACCAGUGCCUGAGACUUGAUGGCGGUACGAGGUACAUACUUCAAACCAUGAGGUCCAAGCUCAAUGGCCCACUUGGCUACUCGUUAUGUGGCUUCUCUGUUUUGAAUAAUAUCUCCAAAAGGAGCCGAACUAACCAUAGUGAUGGGAUGACCCAAGAAAUACUACUUAAGCUUCCGGCUGGCCAUGAACACCCCAUAAUCAAGCUUCUAUCAAUUCGGAUACCUCUGCUUGGACGCAAUGAGCACCUCACUGAUAUAAUAAACCGGCCGUUGAACCGGAUAUUCCUUGCCCACCUCCUUCCGUUCCACCACAACAGCUACACUGACAGCCCGGGCGUUAGCAGCCACAUAUAACAACAACAGUUCCUUAUCAAUAGGAGCUCCAAGGACUGGCGACUCAGCUAGUUGUUUCUUCAAGUCUUCAAAUGCGUCGUUAGCAGCAUCACUCCAGACGAAGUCGUCUGUCUUCUUCAUCAUCUGAUACAGUGGUAUGGCCUUCUCACCUAACCGGCUUAUGAACCGGCUUAAAGCGGCAAUACAACCCGCCAGCCACUGAACAUCAUUGAUACACGCCGGUUUUGCCAAAGAGGUAAUGGCCUUGAUCUUCUCCGGGUUAGCCUCAAUGCCUCUCUUAGAAACCAGAAACCCCAAAAGCUUGCCUGCUGGUACACCAAAGACACACUUGGUCGGGUUAAGCAUCACAAUGUAGACCCGGAGGUUAUCAAAGGUCUCCUUCAAAUCAUCUACCAAAGUUUCUUUCUCUCUGGAUUUCACCAUGAUAUCAUCCACAUAAGCCUGAACAUUGCGCCCAAUCUAAUUGUGGAGACAAUUCUGCACACAAGCUGGUAAGUCACCUGAGCACUCUUGAGCCCAAAAGGCAUAGACACAUAGCAGAAGGCUCCAAAGAGAGUAAUAAAAGUUGUCUUCUCCUGGUCCUUAACCGCCAUCUUGAUCUGAUGAUAACCAGAGUAACUAUCCAAAAACUCAAAUGCUCACAUCCCGCCAUAGCAUCAAUGAUUUGAUCAAUAUGAGGGAGAGCAAAAGCAUCAACCAGAGAAGCCUUGUUUAAGUCCGUGUAAUCCACACACAUACGCCAAGUACCAUUCUUCUUAAGCACCAGCACCGGAUUAGCCAACCACUUAGGGUGGAAAACUUCAACGAUGAACCCAACCGCUAAGAGCCGGGCCACCUCUUCUCCAAUGGCUUUGUGCCUCUCCUCAUUGAAGCGACGAAGGAAUUGCUUGACCGGCUUAAAUUUUGGAUCAGUAUUGAGAGUGUGCUCAGCGAGUUCCCUCGGUACACCCGGCAUGUCAGAAGGUUUCCAUGCAAAGAUGUCCCGGUUCUUACGGAUGAACUUGAUGAGCGCGCUUUCCUAUUUAGGAUCCAGAUUAGCACUGAUACUGAACUGCUUGGAUGAAUCGCCAUGAACAAAGUCAAUGAGUUUAGUAUCAUCAGCCGACUUAAACUUCAGCACCGGAUCAUGCUCUGUAGUUGGUUUCUUCAAAGAUGUCAUAUCCGCCGGGUCAACAUAAUCCUUGUAAAAUUUCAACUCUUCUGUUGCACAAACAGACUCAACAUAAGCCGCAUCACCUUCUUCACAUUCCAAGGCUACCUUUCAACUCCCAUGCACUGUGAUGGUCCCCUUGUAUCCCGGCAUCUUGAGCUACAGAUAAACAUAACACAGCCGUGCCAUGAACUAGACGUAAGCCGACCGUCCAAACAGAGCGUGGUACGGGCUUUUGAUCUUGACCACUUCAAAAGUUAACUUCUCAGCCCUGGAAUCAUGCUUCUCCAAAGGCUACUUCUAGUUCAAUCUUGCCAACGGGGUAUGCCGACUUACCAGGCACCACUCCAUGGAAAACCGUAUUAGACUGCUUAAGGUUCUUAUCAUUUCACCCCAUGCACCGGAAGGUUUCAUAAUAAAGGAUAUUAAUGUUGCUACCUCCAUCCAUGAGUAUCUUAGUGAACUUGUAUCCACCGACUUGAGGUGCCACCACCAAAGCCAAGUGACCUCGGUUAUCAACCCGGGGCGGGUGAUCCACUCGACUCCACAUAAUGGGUUGCUCAGACCAUCGCAAGUAAUGGGGAACUGCCGGCUCAACGGCGUUCACAACCCUCUUGUGAAGCUUCUGGUCCCGCUUGCACAAACUUGUGGUGAAAACAUGAUACUGCCCACUAUUCAACUGUUUAGGAUGACUUUGAUAUCCGGACUGCUGCUACUGCUGACCCCCCUGGCCGGAUUGCUGAUUGAAACCACCCUGGUUACUUUGAUUAUAUCCACCCUGAUUACUUGGGUGGCCCUGGAAGCCGGAAUUAGAACCGCCACCUCCAUAACCCGGGCCAUGAGAACCGCCACCACCUGAGCCGCCGCACGGUCCGUGAUUGCCAUCAAAUGAGUUAAGGUUUUUAAAAGCCUUCAUAAUCGUACAAUCUUUCCAAAGGUGAGCAGCCGGUUUCUCCUAUGUGCCAUGCCUUGGACAAGGCUCAUUCAACGACUGCUCAAGAGUAGGACCUGAUCCGCUGGUCCGAGGAGGCGGCCUCUCCUUAUGACACUGAUUAUUACCCUGUGCAUUGGUGUUAGCCACAAACUCCGAGCUACCAUCAGCCUUGCGUUUACCAUUGCCCCCUUGAUUCGCUGGGUUAUGCUGCGGACCGUUGGCGUUGCCACUCUUCUUUCCCUUUCCCGGUUUAUCAUCAUCAGACUCGGGGUCCUUGGUACUAUCAGAGUUGGCAUAUUUGGUUAAGGUUGCCAUCAGCUACCCCAUAUCAUUACAAUCGCGCUUGAGCCGCCCCAGCUCCUGCUUGAGAGGCUCAAAACGGUAAUUUUUCUCCAACAUUAAGACUGCAGAGCCGACAUUCAUGUUAUCAGAUGAAUGUAUGAUAGCUUUAACCCGGCACACCCAAUGGGUUGUUGAUUCACCCUCCUCCUGGGCGCAAGUAGCCAAGUCCACAAUCGACAUAGGCUGUUUGCACGUGUCUUUGAAGUUCUGAAUAAACCGGCCUUUAACUCAGCCCACAACCAGAUAGAAUUAGCGGGCAGCCCUUUUAACCAAUUACGGUCCGUUCCAUCUAGCAUCAUGGUAAAAUACUUAGCACACGCAGCAUCAUUGACCUCCAAUAGCUCCAUGGCCAUCUCAUAACUUUCAAUCCACGCCUCAGGGGGUAAGUCGGCUGUGUAAUUAGGCACCUUAUGAGGCCCUUUGAAAUCCUUAGGCAAACGCUCAUUACGCAGAGCCGACACCAAACAGGGCACACCUGUAGACCUAGAGGUCACGCCUGCCUCCAGAGAAGCCGUCGGAUAAGCCAGAAGCUGCUGAUAAACCACUGGUUCCGCCUGCUCCACUUCUUGACACAUCCUGCCCGGAUCGACCGCACCCUGAGCUCCAUUACCUGUUGGGUCAUGCCCACGUGACCGCUCACGGCGCUGGGCAUUGCUUGAAACAACUGGUGAGUCCAUGUAUCUGCUAUAGCUCCGGCUUGGACGAGGAGUCGAAUGAAUCCUAUCUCGGCUGUAAGAGUACACCUCCUGCUGUACCAUUGCCAUUUGAAGAAGCUCCUUAACCCUUCGUCUUUCAACUGCUGCUGGAGAAUCACCUUCCACUGGGUGAGCCGCCAAUCAUGUAGCUGCAACGAUCAUAUUAUCCAACGAGUUAGAAUAAUGACCCAGUGGUGUUGGCACGUGCUGAGGCGGAACAGUGUUCAAAUGAGGUGGCUCCGUCACGCGUGGUUGAGUCGGUGUUCUAGCCCUAGGAGCGGUGUCCCGGUUUAACUGCAGCGGGUUACUGGGUCCCGCUCCAGGCGUGCAAAAGAGAUUCCUCCCCUCAUAAACCAGAGGUAGACGAGACAUGUGCCUCCUCCUCAUGACUUCAUUUAAAGCGUUUUGAUCCAUCAUAAGCUGGUAGGCCUCUGCUUGGAUCCGCUGCGCCUGGGCAUCCAAGGCAGCUCGCUCUGCAGCCAUCCUGACGUCCUCAACCGCCAGGUCUGCUUUGUCCUGUUCUAUCUCUUCUCACAACUUUGUAACUUCUACGUUGCGCUGCUCUCGAUUCGCCGGGCUGACCUCUGUUGUCAUCAAGGCCGUCAAGUUAUCCAACAAGUCUGUCAAAACUUGAGCCGGCGGGCGCACAGGGCCUCCUGCCCCGGCUGCCAUCGCUGCAGCUGACCCGGGAGACAUUGUUGGCAUAGUUGAGGGAGUCUGCACAGGCUGUGUCCCGGCCAUAAAGAUUGCAACCCGCUUCGGCGGCUCAAAGGGAUCCGAAAUACUGUCGCCAUCAGAAUAGCCCCCAAGCCUACCAUCUUGUAGUUGAUACAACGAAGUAGUCUCACCCGUGGAUGACUCACCAUCAGAGUAGAUGGACGUCUCACCGCCAGACAUAGAUCCUUCAUCAAAUUCCCCUCCAUGGAUGCAUCCCACGAAGGCACGCUUCACGGCGGGUUGAGCUCGGGCGGGUCUUGCACGCUGAGCCGUCUCGAUGAUGUCAGUGCAGAUGUUUGGCUCAGGGCCCGGCUCGCCAAUCUUGCCGAUGAAGACGUGAAUUCUGCCGAAGGGGACCCGGUACCCGUACUCGAUUGAGCCGGCCUCGGGGCCCGAGCCUGCAUCAUCGAUGUAGAGCUUGCCACGACGACUCUUGGUCAUCCAGCCCACAGCAUAUCCCUUGAUCCCUUCGAAGCUGCCCUUCAAGAACCUGAAACCACCGUGCGCUGGCCCCAUAGUGGGCGCCAACUGUCAUGGAAUAGUCACGACAGAUGUCCUCGUGAAAGGACUUAGUCGUGGAGCCAUCGCCUCUAGUUAGCUUAAAGGGGUUAAAUGUGACAAAGGACACAAGAAUUAUACUGGUUCGGCCCCUUGCGGUGAAGGUAAAAGCCUACUGUCCAGUUUCAGGUGGUAUUGCUUAUGUCUUGAUUACCAGGGAGCGAAUCUUCUUGACCUAGCUUUCGAUCUCUUGUUUCUUGUCCUGAACCGCCGCUUGGUCGUCCCUUUAAAUACACAGGUUGAAGGCCAGCGGCUCACGGAGUCCCGACCGGCUCAUAGACAACGUGUCCGGCUCGGUGACUACUUUUACAUGCCUUACAAAACAAGUCUUACAUAUAUGGCGGUUUAUACCUGCAGGCCUUGAGUCGCCCGUGGGCCUUGGGCCCUUGGCUGUUAACCGCUAUCUUUAAUGUCUUCAUGGUCUUCAUAUCAAGAGUCACCAUAGGUAUAACCCUGCCCCUCCUGGACGGGUCAUACCAAUAGUUAUAUCCCCAACACAUACCUUGACAAGAUUUUGAAAGAGUUCAAAAUAGAUCAGUCAAAGAAGGAGUGCUUGCCUAUAUUAUAAGGUGUAAAGUUGAGUAAGACUCAAAGCCCGACCACGGUAGAAUAUAGAAAGAGAAUGAAAGUCAUUCCCUAUGCCUCAGUCAUAGGUUCUAUAAAGUAUGCUAUGUUGUGUACCAGACCUAUUGUGUACCUUGCCAUGCUUUUGGCAAAGGGGUACAAUAGUGAUCUAGGAGUAAAUCAAUGGACAAUGGUCAAAAUUAUCCUUAGUAAGGACUAAGGAAAUGUUUCUCGGUUAUGGGGUGAUAAAGAGUUCGUCGUAAAUAGUUACGUCGAUGCAAGCUUUUACACCGAUCCAGAUGACUCUAAGUCUCAAUCUGGAUACAUAUUGAAAGUGGGAACAAUUAGCUAGAGUAGCUCCAUGCAAAGCAUUGUAGACAUAGAAUAUUUGCAAAAUGCAUACGGCUCUGAAUUUGACAGACCCGUUGACUAAACUUCUCUCACGAGCAAAACAUGAUCACACCUUAGUACUCUUUGGGUGUUAAUCACAUAACGAUGUGAACUAGAUUAUUGACUCUAGUAAACCCUUUGGGUGUUGGUCACAUGGCGAUGUGAACUAUGGGUGUUAAUCACAUAUAGAUGUGAACUAUUGGUGUUAAAUCACAUGGUGAUGUGAACUAGAUUAUUGACUCUAGUGCAAGUGGGAGACUGAAGGAAAUAUGCCCUAGAGGCAAUAAUAAAGUUGUUAUUUAUAUUUAUUUAUAUCAUGAUAAAUGUUUAUUAUUCAUGCUAGAAUUGUAUUAACAGGAAACUUAGUACAUAUGUGAAUACAUAGACAAAACAAAGUGUCCCUAGUAUGCCUCUACUUGACUAGCUCGUUAAUCAAAGAUGGUUAUGUUUCCUGACCAUAGACAUGUGUUGUCAUUUGAUGAACGGGAUCACAUCAUUAGGGGAAUGAUGUGAUGGACAAGACCCAUCCGUUAGCUUAGCAUUAUGAUCAUUACUGUUUCAUUGAUACUGCUUUCUUCAUGACUUAUACACAUUCCUCAAACUGUGAGAUUAUGCAACUCCCGAAUACCGGAGGAACACCUUGUGUGCUAUCAAACGUCACAACGUAACUGGGUGAUUAUAAAGGUGCUCUACAGGUGUCUUUGUAGGUGUUUGUUGGGUUGGCAUAGACCAAGAUUAGGAUUUGUCACUCCGUGUUUCGGAGAGGUAUCUCUGGGCCCUCUCGGUAAUGCUCAUCACUAUAAGCCUUGCAAGCAUUAUAACUAAUGAGUUAGUUGCUGGAUGAAGUAUUACGGAACGAGUAAAGAGACUUGCCAGUAACGAGAUUGAACUAGGUAUGAUGAUACCGAUGAUUGAAUCUCGGGCAAGUAACAUACCGGUGACAAAGGGAACAACGUAUGUUGUUAUGCGGUUUGACCGAUAAAGAUCUUCGUAGAAUAUGUAGGAGCCAAUAUGAGCAUCCAGGAUCCGCUAUUGGUUAUUGACCGGAGAUAUGUCUCGGUCAUGUCUACAUAGUUCUCAAACCCGUAGGGUCCGCACGCUUAACGUUUGAUAAUGAUAUGUAUUAUGAGUUAUGUGAUUUUGAUGACCCAAGUUUGUUAGGAGUCCCGGAUGAGAACAUGGAUGUGAUGAGGAGUCUCGAAAUGGUUGAGACAUAAAGAUCAAUAUAUUGGAAGGCUAUAUUCGAACAUCGGAAAGGUUCCGAGUGAUUCGGGUAUUUUUCGGAGUACCGGAGAGUUACGAGAAUUCGCCAUGGGAAUUAGUGGGCCUUAAUGGGCCAUAUGGGAAAGGAGAGAAGGGCCUCAAGGGGUGGCCACGCGCUCCCCCAUGGGUUGGUCCGAAUUGGACUAGGAGGGGGCGGCGCCCCCUCCUUACUUCUCCCCUCUUCCUCCUUCCCUUCCUUCUCCUAGUUGGAAUAGGAAGGGGGGGGGGGCGAAUCCUACUUGGACCGGGAGUCCAAGUAGGACUGGCGCGCCCCCUCUAGGGCCGUCCUCCUCUUCCUCCCUCCUAUAUAUACGUGGGCAGGGGGCACCCCAAAGUCACUCCAAGAUUGGUAUUAGCCGUGUGUGGUGCGCCUCCCUCCACAGUUACACACCUCGAUCACACCGUUGCGGAGCUUAGGCGAAGCCCUGUGCCAGUAGUAUCAUCAUCACCGUCACCAUGCCUUCGUGCUGAUGGAACUCACCCUUGGCCUCAACUGGAUCAAGAGUACACGGGACGUCAUCGAGCUGAACGUGUGCUGAACACGGAGGUGUCGUACGUUCAGUGCUUGAUCGGUUGGAUCGCGAAGAAGUUCGACUACAUCAACCGCGUUACUAAACGCUUCCGCUUUCGGUUUAUGAGGGUACUGUCGGUGUCAAAACUGGCGGAUCUCGGGUAGGGGGUCCCGAACUGUGCGUCUAAGGCUAAUGGUAGCAGGAGACUGGGGACAUGAUGUUUACCCAGGUUCGGGCCCUCUCGAUGGAGGUAAUACCUUACUUCCUGCUUGAUUGAUCUUGAUGAUAUGAGUAUUACAAGAGUUGAUCUACCACGAGAUUGUAGAGGCUAAACCCUAGGAGCUAGCCUAUGAUUAUGAUUGUCUUGUCCUACAGACUAAACCCUCCCGUUUAUAUAGACACCGGAGGGGGCUAGGGUUACACAAAGUCAGUUUACAAAGGAGGUCUAGCAUCCGGAUCGCCAAGCUUGCCUUCCACGCAAAGGAGAGUCCCAUCCGGACAUGGGACAAAGUCUUCAAUCUUGUAUCUUCAUAGUCCAACAGUCCGGCCAAAGCAUAUAGUCCGGCUGUCCGGAUACCCCCUUAUCCAGGACUCCCUCAGUAGCCCCUGAACCAGGCUUCAAUGACGAUGAGUCCGGCGCGCAGAUUGUCUUCGGCAUUGCAAGGCGGGUUCUAUCUCCGAAUACCUCAAUAUAAAUUCCGAACAUAAGGACCAUGUCCAGCUCUGCAAAACAAGUUCCACAUACCUCCGUAGAGAGAAUAAUAAUCCACGAAUCUAAUCUGCUGAUAACUCUUCGAAACAUGUCAUCAUGCCACGGUCCAAUUUUUAUUCGAACAGUUUUUUAUAACCAGCUACCGCACAUAUUACGAGGCGGUUCCUUUGGCAUGUCUUGUCGAAGCAGAGAUCGUGUCCCUCUUAUCGUGGGAUCCUCAUCAUUAUAGAUAUGGGUAAUCCAACCAUGCCUGUUGGCAUGACUCCAUGUUUUUAGGCAAGUCCCGAACGGUUACGCUGGGGACGCUUGAUAUUCUCCCCCCUUUAUAGAGGGGUCGAGGCCUAUCCCUCUAUCUCCACACUCGCGCCUUCCCGCACUUUGAGUCCCAACACCCAAAGCUCAAGCUUAAGCACUCCGGAUCUUCGAUCAUGUCCGGAUCCAACCUUCAAGGCCGGUGGAUGGCCUCCUCUGUCACAGAGGAGGACAUUGCGAAGCUUAGGGAGGCCGGGUAUCUGACCGCUGAUGUCAAGCACAGGCUUCCCGUCGCAGGGCAGGUCAUCCCCACUCCCGAACCCAAUGAGAGUGUUGUAUUUGUCUCUCACUUCCUCCGAGGCUUGGGAUUUACUCUUGAUCCCUUCGUGAGGGGGAUCAGGUUCUAUUACGGGCUAGAUUUUCACGAUCUAGCUCCGGAUUCCAUCCUCCACAUCUCGUCGUUUAUCGGCGUGUGUGAAGCCUUCCUCCAUAUCACCCCCCACUUUGGCCUAUGGCUCAAGACCUUCAACGUGAAGGCGAAGGAGAUUGAGGGGCGACGCAUGGAGUGCGGGGGCGCUGCAAUAAGCAGAAACACCGAUGUUCCAUGGCCAGAAGGUUCUUUCCUGGAGGUGUCCGAUCUGUGGCAACGAACGUGGUUUUACAUCACAGCUCCCUGAGGCACAAGGUGGGCGGCCGCCCUCGCCUUCCGCUCGGGCCCUCCGCCUCAACUAGCAUCAUGGGCCAACAUGGGACCGGACUGGGGGCCUGCUAACGAUGUACCGAUGUUGCAGAGCCGUAUUCGGGAGCUUCUUGAGAGAGACGUCAGUCUUGUCAAAAUAAUCCAGGUAAUGCUAGUUCGGCGGAUCCUGCCGUGCAAACGAUAUCCUCUCCGGAUGUGGGAGUUCAAUCCGGAGGGUCCGCGAACCAUUCUGCACUUCUUCGGUAUGACGCCCGAAGAGAUGUAUAAGUUGUUCUUCGGGCCACGAGUAAAGUGUCCGGACACCACCGAGGAUGCGGGCCUGAGCUGCAACCGCCCAGAUACCCAAGUAAGCAACCCUAUAACCGAACACUUUGUUUGUAUUUAUCAUAACAUUAGUCUGAAAAACUGUCCGCGGCCAGGAUUGGCUCAGCAAGGCAGAGAGAAUCAGGUGUCCGGCCCCACUUCCCGAAGGCCCGCCCGGUCCGGCAAUAGCCAGGAUGCUUGAGCGGGCAUUAAGUCAAGGGCCAUUGGGGAAAGACGAAGGGAAGAGUGAGCUUCACACAUUGUUCAUCCAAACCUGGGGAAUUAAUGUCUCCACGAAGGAGGAUAAUUGGGGAGGUGAAUCCAAGAAUUCCUCCCCCCGCGGGAAGAAAAGGGCUGCCUCCGAAGACUUGGAGACGGAGGCGCCUAAGCAAGGGAAGAAGACUUCACCAGAGAGCCCAGCCCCGAAGGGAGUCCUUGCUGCAUCAUGCCCGAGAACGGGCCAGCCCUCCACCAAGCUGUGAGUUGAUAAACCAGAAACUUAUCGCUUUCUCCUCUGAGAGUAAUAACCAGGACCUGUUUUUUGUUGUCCGGCCAGCAGUUCAUCUCAAUAGAGUUCGUCCUCGGGGGAUCUUCUUUCGGAGAUGAUGGAGAGUGAAACCCCACUAGCCUCUCCGCUCCAUGGGGCAGGUGACCCUGAGGUGUCAUCACGGAGGAGUCUAGAUCCACUGAGGCCAGAAGCUAACACUUCGGCCGUCCCGAGCCCAGCAUGUUCGGCUCCUUGGGAGGGCAAUGAGAAGGGUCCGGGAGAGUCCGGUGCCCGGCCGAACAUACUGACGGGCCUCCUGGAGCAAGCUGCUCUCUCGGAGGAUCACUGUACACUAAUGGGUAAGUUGUUGGAGAAAAUUUCCUCCGCUACAAGCGGUUUAAAUGAAGCUUUUAAAAGCUUGCUUAGAGGCUUUGAGGUAAGCAACGAAAUACAUAAUUUUUGGUUGCACCACACGCGAUAGAUGUGCUCUGUAUAGAUAGUAGCCCCUGAGACUGUGGUUGCCAGCCUACAGCGGCAAACGGAGGAUCACACUCCCAGGUAAUCAUCGCACUUGUUUUGAUGUGCAGGUUGCUAAGGGUCUGGCGAUAGACCAGACCGCUAAAUUCGCCGAAUUGAGGCGACAGAUUGAUGUGGUGGAUGCCAACAUCACACUUGUGAACAAGCGAUUCGAUGAGUCGCAGAGUAUGCGCUCGUGUUUCCUUAUUUGUUGAGGAAAUUGCAAGAAUGUUGUAAUAUUAAUAUGAUGUGAUGUGGCUGUAGGCGGAGCUUCUGCCAUGGAGGCCAUGAGGGCGGAACUUGCUUUAGCCAAGGAACAAGCCCGGGUUUGCAAUGCGGCUGCCCUAAAGGCAGCCGAAGACUUGAGAGACGAACAGGCUGCUCAUCUCCGAAGCGAAGAAAAGAUAGCCGAGAUGGCUGUGGAGCUGAGGGACGCCGCCGGCCGGUAUGAGCUUCUCGAGAAGGAGAAUCAGGCAAAGGCGGCUAACCUGAAGAAGGCGCUGGAUUCCGCUAAGGAGAUGCACUCUAAUAUUAGAGACGCGCGGGAGGAACUUCGACAAGCCGGAGAAAUCGCGUUUGGAAACCCCUAUUUGUUGCGGAUGAAGUUCUUAGAUCCAAAGUAUGCUCCUUUGGAUCAACUUUGGAGCACUGCAGAUGAAUAUGCGGACUUGGCGAAGAGUACGGCUGAUGCGACCAAGUUAUUUAAGGAUCAUAAAGAUAAUGAAAUAGAAAGGCUAUUCUGGUUGCAAUUUAGCGCUCCAACGCGCUCAUUGCCAUUAAGUGAGAAGAUGGCCGCUAUAGCCGAGCUCCAUAGGUUGUCCGGUCUUGCAAUGAGGUCAGUAAUAGACCAUCUAUGGCCGAAAGGACCAAGGCCGGACAGCUACUUUGGUUUAGUGCAGCAACUAUUUGGUUCCAGAUCGUGAAUCGAUGCCGUGAAGAGGUCGGCAUGCAUAGAGGGUGCGUGGAUGGCUCUUGCCCGUGUGAAGAAAUAUUGGGCAGAUAUGGAGGCCACCAACAUUGUAACCUAGGGUCCGGCAGGAAGCCAAGACCCAGUCGAGCACUAUUUUGAGCAGGUCGUAGAAGGUGCCCGUAGAAUAGAGGCUCAGUGCUCGAAGAAUGUCAUGUUCGAGUGACAAGUCUAUUCAUUGAAAACAAUUAUGUGUUAAUUAUAGAGGUUGUUUUUAUACUUUUGCCUCAAAGUAUUAUAAUGUCUCCUGUGUGGCCGGUUAUGUAUGCAUAUAACAUGAAAGUUAGCAGUCGUUGGCUUUAGCCCCCACGCACAUAAUGCGGGGGUGUUCGAAAAAUAAUAUGCGUAAACACACUUGAUCCAACGUCUUGGUCCGUUAAGGAGGUGAUCGCACGUCGAACCAGGCAACCGGACUAUAUAGCUGUAACACUUUCACUUAGCCAUAGGAGUUGAAAGGUGGGGCUACUAUGUAGCCCCUGGUACUUCCGCGUGUGUCCGGAUACGGUGCACGUACGUACUUGACCAGGAAACCGGUCCUUCAUUGAUGCGGAGGAAUCCUAUACAUUCCGAUGAGUCCUCGAGUGGUUGACCAGUCUCUCGUUGUAUCACGAUAGUCAGUUUUCAGCUUUCUCUACUGAGGCGCUCAUCCGGAAUAACCAGGGCACAAUCGCAGUAGUUCUCCCUUGGCCACCUUAGCCGAUAGAACGGAACAUAAGGCGGCAAACCCAGGAGCCGGGCUAACCCAACAUUUGACCAAAGACAUGAUUCGGAGCUAAUGCAUAUAAGGCCAAACUCGUGACGCCGAACACUCCCGAAGGUAUUCGGACUUUAUAAGAUAUACUGGGCUAAGUAACGCCCUUGACCCUGUAUUUCCAGGUACGUGCAUUGAUUUGUCGUGGCGAAUAGCCUAUAACGCCAAUGUCCCUUGUGGGUGUAUGGAAUACCCAUGGGAUGUCAAGCAACAAAAGACAGUAAAGAAGGUUUACACAGGGGCUUAAUCUAAAGAGAAACCUUUGAGCGGGGCCCUGCUGCACGUCUGCGCCUUUGUCCUCGUUGUGCCGUAUCCUGGAAGGGUGUCGCACGAGUAGUGUCUGUAAAAACUAAAACUCAUAUAGAGGAGUAAGCGUGCGGGAAGUUGGUUAUUCUCAAUAGAUACUAGAAAUAUGAGAGAUUGGCCUAUUAUAAGGUAAGCUGAAUUGUGGGCUGUAUUAUGUGUUGACAACCCCUAGUACCAUUUAUGGGGAUAUAUGUGCAGCACCCAGCCAGGGUUUAUCCGGGCUGUUGUUGAUGGUGGUGCGCCAGACUCGUCUAGCCGUGUCCGUGGUCUUAACGACCGAUCAUGCGUUCUGGUGGGAGGGGCCGCUUAGUGUCCGGCCGCGGGAGCUGCCGCAUAUUGCUCUGUGUUUCCACUAACCGUUAUGAUGCCAUAUGGACCGGGCAUCUUAAGUUUGAGGCAGGCAUAGUUCGGUAUUGCAUUAAAGCAAGUGAAGGCCAUUCUUCCGAGUAAUGCAUGAUAAUUGCUGCUGAAGGGGGCAAUGUCGAAGAGUAAUUCCUCGCUUUUGAAGUUGUCGGGAGAACAGAAUGUCACUUCUAAUACGAGAGAGCCCCGGUAGCGGGCCUCGAUGCCUGGUAUCACGCCGUUAAAGGUGGUGUCACUCUGUCUUAUUCUGGAUGGGUCUAUCCCCAUCUCGUGGAUAGUGUCCUGAUAUAUCAGAUUAAUACUACUGCCGCCGUCCAUUAGGACUUGAGUGAGAUGGUAUCCAUCAAUUAUUGGGUCGAGCACCAAGGCAGCCGAUUCUCCGUGCCGGAUACUGGCCGGGUGGUCCAUGUGAUCAAAAGUGAUCGGGCAGGCCUCCGAGGGGUUGGACUUGGGGGCAACGAACUCCGUGUGGGUUGCGUGGACCAUGUUUACUGUUUUAACUUCUGGUGGGAAUUUUUUCUGUCCCCCAGUGUUCGGCUGGCGAGGCUCAUCCUCGUCUUUGCUUGGUGUUUCCCUUCCCUUGUAUUCGGCGUUUAACUUGCCGGCCUGCUUGAAGACCCAACAUUCUCUAUGAGUAUGAUUUGCAUGUUUUUCCGGGGUGACAUGGAUUUGGCACAGUCUAUCCAGGACUUUAUUUAGGCCGGACGAUCCUUCUUUGCUGCCUUUAAAUGGCUUCUUUCUCUGACCGGGUCGCGAGCCCCUGAAUCCGGCGUUGAACGCCGUGUUGUCCGGACUAUCUUCAUUGCUUCAACGCUUAUUCUUGUUGCGUUGUGGCUUCCCGUUGCCAUCUCGAAUUUCGGAUGUGCCUGGGUCGCUGGUGCCUCUACGGGCCAACCAGUUGUCCUCGCCCACACAAAAGCGGGUCAUAAGGCUUGUUAAGGCCGCCAUCGUCCUUGGCUUUUCUUGGCCGAGGUGUCUGGCAAGCCACUUGUCCCGGAUACUAUGUUUGAAGGCCGCUAGGGCUUCAGCAUCGGGACAGUCGAUGAUUUGAUUCUUCUUAGUGAGAAAUCUGUUCCAAAGCUUAUGGGCUGACUCUCCGGGCUGUUGUAUUAUGUGACUUAAAUCGUCUGUAUCCGGAGGUCGGACAUAGGUCCCUUGAAAAUUGGCCCUGAAAGCGUCCUCAAGUUCCUCCCAACUUCCAAUUGAAUUUUCGAGGAGGCUUUUCAACCAGUGCCGAGCUGGCCCUUUCAACUUGAGGGGGAGGUAUUUGAUGGCAUGGAGAUCGUCCCCUCGAGCCAUGUGUAUGUGAAGGAUAAAAUCCUCAAUCCAGACCCCAGGGUCUGUCGUUCCGUCGUAUGCCUCUGUUCACGGGUUUGAAUCCCUAUGGAAAUUCAUGAUCCAGCACCUCAUUGGUGAAACACAGGGGGUGUGCAGCCCCUCUGUACCUGGAUAUGUUAGGGCGUGCUGUCGACGGUUGUUGUGUCCGGGUUUGAUUCCGGACUGGUAUUUGAUCAGUAUGAUCGUUUUGGUGACCAUAGUCUUGUACGUGAGCGCGCCCUCUAGAUCCAUAGACGGACCUGGCCGCACCAGCCUUUUUGUCCAAGAGCUCACGUAAAUCAUGGGCUGACUUGUGUGCGGCACCGGUGGCUGCUCUAUCACGGCCAUGAGGUGGUCGGUCCGGUUGAUCGGCUGUGGUGUUCUUUAGCGAAACGGGCUCUAAGGCUUCAUUGUCGAAUUCUGGCAGUAGUUUGCGCUUUGGGUAGCUCUUUGUUUGGCGAUCGUCGCCGUAUUUUUCUUCAGUAUCUAGCACCUUCUUCCAUCUUCGGUUCUUCUUUAAGCUCCUCGCCGUGGCAAUAAGCCUUUUGCGGAGGUUAUCUUGUUCCAAACGUUUUUCCGGGAUGAUGAAUGCACCGUCGACCGGACUGUCCUCCUCUUUGGAGGCAGUGUGAUGAGUUCGGCCCUCGGGAUCGCUGUGGUCAGGCGCCUGCUCCGGGCUGUGUUCGGCGUGACCUGGCUUAUCCUGCUCCAUCACUGGGUCCCCAUGGUCGUUGUUGCCUUCGUAGUCGACCGGAGUGUUAUCCUUUUUUGCGUUGUUAUCGCUAUUUUGACUGUGACUAGACUUAGAGCGGCGCCUGCACCGUCGUUUUGCUUUUGUCCGGGGGGUUUAUCCUCCGUUGUGUCCUUUUUGUCACUGUUGUCCUCCUUGGGCGUGUCCACCAUGUAGAUGUCAUAUGAUAAAGUGGCGGUCCAGCGCCCCGUGGGCGGUGGUUCCAUAUUGCCCCCUGUAUCGACGCCCAUACCGUCGAUGUCGUCGAAGUCGAAAUCAAGCAUGUCUGUUAGGUCAUCGACAGUGGCUAUGAAGUGGGUGGGUGGGUGGGAAGCGAAUCUCUUCUUCGUCCGUACCCCACUCGGGCCGGACAUAGUUCGGCCAAGAGUCUUCUGACAAAGAGAGAGACCUUAAUGAAUUUAGCACAUCGCCAAAAGGGGAGUGUUGCAUGAUAUCCGCGAUGGUGAACUCCAUUACUGGGGCCCAAUUGGACUCGAUAGGCCCGGGUGCACGUGAUCCCGAACCUACGACCAGAGACAAGUCCGGGGGUCCGGAGAUACAGAUUUCCUUAGGAGCGGAGUCUGUGUUCGGCUCCAAUACCGAUGAGUGUGCGGCCUCCGGGGCGGGGUCCAUCCACCCAUCCUCGGAAGGCACGAUCUGCUCUAGAUCGGAGUCUGGAGCCGUAGUAGGCGCGAUAUUCCGAAUACUGUCCGACAUUAGAUCUAGGUCGUGCCCGUCGUGAUCGUUCGGCGCUCUUGACAUGGGCCCGAAUCCGUCGAAGAUCAAGUCUCCAUGGAUGUCGGCGGUGUAGUUUAGGUUUCCAAACCUGACCUGAUGGCCAAGGGCGUAGCUGUCGAUCUGCUCUAGACGACCAAGCGAGUUGGCCCGCAGUGCAAAGCUGCCGAACACGAAGAUCUGUCCAGGGAGAAAAGUCUCACCCAGGACGGCGUCGUUGAAGGUUGGGGGAGCCAUCGAGCCUUACAGCGACGACAUAGAGGAACUCUCAAUGAAGGCACCAAUGUCGGUGUCAAAACCGGCAGAUCUCGGGUAGGGGGUCCCGAACUGUGCGUCUAAGGCUAAUGGUAACAGGAGACUGGGGACACGAUGUUUACCCAGGUUCGGGCCCUCUCGAUGGAGGUAAUACCCUACUUCCUGCUUGAUUGAUCUUGAUGGUAUGAGUAUUACAAGAGUUGAUCUACCACGAGAUCAUAGAGGCUAAACCCUAGGAGCUAGCCUAUGAUUAUGAUUGUCUUGUCCUACAGACUAAACCCUCCAGUUUAUAUAGACACCGGAGGAGGCUAGGGUUACAUAGAGUCCGUUUACAGAGAAGGAGAUCUACCAUCCGGAUCGCCAAGCUUGCCUUCCACGCAGAGGAGAGUCCCAUCCGGACACAUGACGAGGUCUUCAAUCUUGUAUCUUCAUAGUCCAACAGUCCGGCCAAAGCAUAUAGUCCGGCUGUCCGGAUACCCCCUUAUCCAGGACUCCCUCAGGUACGUGGACAUACUCUCCCCUCUUGUUGCUAUGCAUCUCCUAGAUAGAUCUUGCGUGAUCGUAGGAUUUUUUAUGAAAUUACUGCGUUCCCCAACAAGAUCAUCUUGUAUGCAGUUCUUACCGAGAAGCGACCCCUCGGGUCCUCCGACCACGCCCAGAAGUCAUCUACAUGCCUUGUACAUAGUGCAAUUCUCAAAAUAGCCUCGGCAUCAACAGGAACAAAAACUUGUCUGAUCAAGUCUUCUCUCCAAGAUGUUGAAGACGUGUCGAUUAACUCUGCCACUAAUUGUGGAGGAUCCUAAACCAACGAAGAGAUCGGCCUCAUCAAGCCCGCCCUAGGGAUACAGUUAUGUUGCCAAAUGUGAGUCGGUGUCCCAUCUCCAAUCCUCAUGAUCGCACCAUGCUGCAUUACGUUUCUGCCAUCCACUACUACCCGCCAAAUCUGAGAGGGAUUUGAUCCCAAAUCCGCUUCGAGGAUAGAACUGUCUUGAUAAUAAGCUGCCUUGAGAAUACGUGAACUCAGCGAGUUAGGUUCAUUCAGACACUUCCAGGCUUGCCUUGAUAGAAGAGAUAGAUUAAAGACUUCUAGAUCCUUGAAACCCAAGCCUGCCAAGUUCUUUGGUUUUGUCAGCACAUCCCAAGAUACCCAAGCAUGCUUCCUCUUUCCCUGUUUAGAUCCCCACCAAAAAUGUCUUAUAAGUGUAGACACACUUUCACAAAGUCCCCUAGGAAGUCUGAAGCAUGACAUUGAGAAAACGGGUAUGGCCUGUGCCACUGAUUUUAUCAACACCUCCUUCCCCGCUGCUGAGAGUAGUUUCUGCAUCCAUCCCCUCACUUUCUCCCACACCCCAUCUCUCAAAUAACAAAAAGUGUCAUUCUUUGAGUGACCCACCUCUGUCGGCAUGCCCAAGUAUUUUUCGCUCAAAGAUUCGUUCUGCACAUGAAGGAUAUUUUUCACCUGAUGCUUUAGAGCCUCUGGACAUCCUUUACUAAAGAAGAUUGAUGACUUGUCAUUGUUAAUUCUUUUACCAGAUGCAUCACAAUAAUUACGAAGCAGGUUUGAAACCGCAUUUGCUCCCUCCACACUAGACUUAAAAAGCAGCAGGCUGUCAUCCGUAAACAAAAGAUGGUUCACCACAGGAUCUGUGGGUGUCACCUUCACGCCUGCAAGUAUCGAUGACUAAGAACUGGAUUUUAAAAGGCACGAAAGGCCCUCUGCUGCCAAUAAGAAUAAGUAAGGAGAAAUGGGAUCUCCCUGCCGAAUACCUCUAGAUGGUUUGAACUGUUCAAGUUUUUCACCAUUAAAAAUAACCGAGAAAGACACUGAUUUGACAAUACCCAUAACAAUUUCCGUCCAAGCUGGUGAGAAACCCAACUUGAGCAUGAUCGCCUACAAAUAUGCCCACUCGACCCUGUCGUAAGCUUUCAUCAUGUCAAGCUUUAGAGCACACAAACUAUUCCUCUUGGACCUGUUCCUCUUCAUAAAAUGCAAGCAUUCGUAUGCACAGAUAAUGUUGUCCGUGAUCAUUCUACCAGGCACAAAUGUUGAUUGUUCCUCAGAUAUAAUAUCAGGCAAUAUGAUCUUCAGUCUGUUCGGUACUACCUUUGACAGAAUUUUAUAUAAGACGUUGCAAAGACCGAUUGGCCUGAACUGAGAUAGAAGGGUCGGGCUCAUUAACUUUGGUAUUAAAACUAACACCGUGUCAUUAACCCCCUCAAGGCUCUCCUCCCCUCUAAUUAUCCUCAGUACCACCGAGGUAACCUCUUCUCCGCAUAUGUCCCAGUGACGCUGGUAGAAGUGAGCAGGAAAGCCAUCGGGACCUGGCGCCUUUGUUGGGAACAUUUGAAACAACGAUGUCUUGACUUCCUCGCUAGUGUACGGUGCACAUAAAGUAUCGUUCAUCGCCGGUGUGACCUUUCAGGGUACAUGCCUCAAGACUUCCUCCAUCCCAUGUACCCCCUCGGAUGUGUACAAAGAUUGAUAAAAAUCUUGAACCAACGAUUUUAACUCAGAUGGGUCAUCUUUUACCACUCCCAAAGAGUUUGACAAAGCACGUAUCAUGUUCCUUUUCCGCCUCAUACUAGCCCGCAUAUGGAAGAAUUUAGUAUUUAUAUCUCCAGCUGACAUCCACUCAAGGCGAGAUCUCUGUCGCCACAUCAAUUCUUCUCUAUGGAGUAGCUCUACUAGUCUCUCAUUCAGCUUUAUCUCUGCAUGCACUGGCCCCAUUCUAGCUGGAUCAUUCCACAGCUGUUCAAGCUUUGCUCUGAUUUGUUUCAUCUCCUUCUGCACACUUCCAAACCUAUCAAUACCCCAUGCUGAUAUGUCCUUACUUAUUCUGAGCAGCUUAUCUCUGAAGUCGCCGACUCCAUACCCAGGCGCCAAAGCACCCCGGCAAUCUAUUAUCUUGUCCCUCCAUGCUUCAUGUGACUCCCACAUAGUUUCAUAUCUAAAAACCUUCCUCGACAUUGUAUCAUGUUGUGUGCUAUCAAAUUUCAACAAGAUCGGUCUGUGGUCAGAGGUUGCACCCACUAAAUGAGAAAGCGUGUGGAUAUCUUGUAAUCCAGCUAGCCGAGGCCAAAGCCCGAUCCAGCCGAACUCUAGCAUACCUCCCCCUGUAAUCUUCUUCUCAAAUGUCCAUGGUCGCCCUGGUACCCCAGGUCCAUAAGCAUGCACACGUCAACUGCUUCUCGAAAGGCUUGGAUCUAUGCAUUACUUAUGUCCGCUAUCCCAUGAUGCUCCUCCUGAUGCAAGACUUCGUUGAAAUCACCAAAACAAAGCCAGGGUAAAUCACUUAUUGUGUCGAUCCCCUUUAGAACGUCCCAAGUUUGGUGUCUGAGAUGGGUUUGGGCCUCCCCGUAUACACAAGUGAUGCGCCAAGGGUCCUGUCCUUCCUCUGUGAUUUUUGCAUCAAUGUGAUAAACAGAAUCUCCCAAGAUCUCAACAUUGCAUGUAUUAUUCCAAAACAUACCAAUACCUCCACUUCUACCUUGACUACUAAUAGCAUAUGAAUUAUCAAAACCUAAAGUUCCUGCUAGAGCUUCUACUCGUGCACCACUUAUUUGUGUCUAAACUAUACAUAGAACACUAGGGGUAAACUUCAUCGCGAAUUCGCGAAUUUCUCGAACUGUCGCAGGUUUACCCGCUCCACGACAGUUCCAGCAAAAAGCACUCAUUGGGCCCGGCGGCGCUCCUUAAAGGAGCCCGCCAAAUUCUUCACUGCUGAGAUUUGUCCCUCUGUAUCUUCAUCUGUCUUCUUAGUCCUCUUCGAAUCUCGCUGGGGGGGGGGACUCAUCACAUUAGCUCCCACCAACAUAAUUGCUAAAGGAUUUACCUUGUCCACUGCAGGUGCAUAAUUGGGUUGGGGGAGAAUAUGAUGUUUGGCCCGAGCUCUGCUCCCGCAUUCCUCUUCCUGCUCAACUCCUCCAUAUCCAUAUCGCUAGCCGCCCCGGCAGGAUCCACAGGGGUUUGUGUUACUUUCGGUGCAUGGCUCUCUGUCAUGUCUCCUCUUCCCCUCUGAGUGCCCACUCGAGCGCCCUCCUGAUCAGCCUCCCCUGCGACCACCUCGUUGGCUGCGUCCUUCUCUAGGGCCUCUGCCUGAGCGGAUAAACCAAUUUGCACGUAGAUCCUUGAACACCAAGGCAGACGGAGGGUGAAUACCAUUGCCGUGUUCCUUAAAUUGAUGCCCAAGCAUGCCGCAAACCACACACCAGUCAGGGAGCUUUUCAUACUUGACUCUAUAAAUCUGUCUCUUCCAUCUCUAAUCAUAGACACCGCGUUCUUGAGUGGCUUGAAUACAUUAAUUCUGACCCAAACUCAAUGAAAGUUACCAAUAAAGUCGUGUGAAUUAGGUUAAGGGAAGAGAACUUCCCCCACCUUAGCAGCAAGUGGAGCCACCAGAUGCGCAUACAACUCUGGUAUAUCAUGGAUUUGAAUCCAUAUAUCAAUUGUCUCAAGCUUAACAGUGGAAGGCUUCGUGAUCCCAUCAUAUGGCAGCAGAAUCACCGCAUCUCCUCUGAAAUUCCAUGGACCAUCAUUCAUGACUCUCUCCCAAUCUGCUAGACAUGAGAAUUGAAUAGUGUAUAGAUUAUCUUCCAAAGGUUUGAACCUUGCCUCUUGCGCUAUGUCCCAGGCCGCACACAUGUUCCUGUAGAACCAUGUUUGGCUGUAGGUUUUUGUUGUGUUAACCCUAGCCAGAGCUAUCCAUCGCGGUCCCUCCGGCGGUGCGGCUUGUUCAUCAAAAUCCACAUCAUCCAGGUCCUCCUCUCUCAGUCCCAGCUCCUUCAUCAUCUGCUCGACAUCACUAAUUCCCGAGGAACUCGAUGCCCCGUCGGAAGCCAUUAGAACUCUGGCCCGAAGAAAAGAUCGAUCGAGUUGCUUGGNNNNNNNNNNNNNNNNNNNNNNNNNNNNNNNNNNNNNNNNNNNNNNNNNNNNNNNNNNNNNNNNNNNNNNNNNNNNNNNNNNNNNNNNNNNNNNNNNNNNNNNNNNNNNNNNNNNNNNNNNNNNNNNNNNNNNNNNNNNNNNNNNNNNNNNNNNNNNNNNNNNNNNNNNNNNNNNNNNNNNNNNNNNNNNNNNNNNNNNNNNNNNNNNNNNNNNNNNNNNNNNNNNNNNNNNNNNNNNNNNNNNNNNNNNNNNNNNNNNNNNNNNNNNNNNNNNNNNNNNNNNNNNNNNNNNNNNNNNNNNNNNNNNNNNNNNNNNNNNNNNNNNNNNNNNNNNNNNNNNNNNNNNNNNNNNNNNNNNNNNNNNNNNNNNNNNNNNNNNNNNNNNNNNNNNNNNNNNNNNNNNNNNNNNNNNNNNNNNNNNNNNNNNNNNNNNNNNNNNNNNNNNNNNNNNNNNNNNNNNNNNNNNNNNNNNNNNNNNNNNNNNNNNNNNNNNNNNNNNNNNNNNNNNNNNNNNNNNNNNNNNNNNNNNNNNNNNNNNNNNNNNNNNNNNACGGUAGGGAAGCAAAAAAAAGACUCGACGGUGGCUAGAUCGCCCCGGGAGAACUAGAGAAACCCUAACUAGAGGGAAUGGCUCAGUAUUUUCUUCUGCAGUGAGAAUUCCUGCCAUCAUCCCAUUGCAUAGCAAGGUUGCUGGCUCCAGAAAAAUUGAAAAAAAGAAUCGUGUUAUUUGAUGGGCCCAGACUUCUUUCCAUGAGUGUAUGGAUCAAAUGCAAGGUCCAGUAAGCAAGCUCAGCUGGGAAGUGUGGCCCACAGAACAGUCGUGAGAGCUGAGAGGUCAGGCGAGCUCUCACCACUCACUUCCGUCUCCGGCCAUGGCGACCAUCUCCGCAGCUCUCUCCAUCUCCCUCCUCCCGCCCGCGGCCCGCCGCGCCGUCUCCACCGCCACCUCCUCCCCGCCGCGCGUCAAGGUAAGACCCACACCGUCUGCACUUCUGAGCGCCGUCGCCGCGUCCUCUGAUUCCGUGGUCCUCGCAGAGAGCCGCGCGGUUCAGGUGCUGCGCAGAACCUCCUUCCCCGGAACAGCAGGAGACCUCCGCGCCUUCGCCCCCUCCUCCGGCGCCGCCUUCGUCCCUGUGGGGCGUCUCCACAAGCGCCUGGACGGCGGGCGUCGCGGGGCUGGGGCUCCUGGAGACCGGCUACCUCAGCUACCUCAAGCUCACGGGCUCCGAGGCCUUCUGCCCCGUCGCCGGGGGAGGCUGCGGCGACGUGCUCGACAGCGACUACUCCGUCGUCUUCGGUAAUUUCCUCCCCCACUGCUCAUGGGAUUGAUAGUUCUGAAAAUUGUACUGCUUUCAUUAUGCUUGCAUUGUCAGUACUCAUUAUGUAGGUAGGAUUGUGUAUUGGUAACUUAGCCACAUUCGAGAUCCGGUGCCCAUUCUUUUUCAACUGUUGCCCAUGGUUGCAGGUUCAGAAUUUAUACAACUAUGUAUGAAUGUCCCUUUUAUCAUUCUGCCGUGUGCCGUGUUGUGUGUGCUGAGAUAAACUUUCACAUAAUACAGUACUAUGGAUGCUCAUCAGUAACAUUGGUCUCGCUUUAUUUCUGUAGGGAUCCCUCUUCCAUUAGUUGGUAUGGUGACAUAUGGUGUGGUGACUGCACUUUCUCUACAAGAAAACGGAGAGGAGUUACUCCCUGGACUCGAUGACUUGGAUAUCCGCCUAACCUUGCUUCUGCUUGCUACUUCACUGGCGACUGCGAGUGCUUAUUUUCUCUUCAUCCUGAAUACCAAAUUUGUCGGGACUUCUUGCUUAUACUGCCUGUCGUCAGCAUUUAUCUCCUUCACAUUAUUUUUCAUCAGACUGAAGGUGUGUGCUUUCUUAAACAUUCUGCUUCAGCGUGUUCCUCUUCUUCAUUUAGAUCUUUUGGUAAUCAAGUAGCCCGCCCAACUAACCUUGUGCUCCAAGGAAUUGUUUGCAGGACAUUGGCUUGGCACGUAUCCAGAAGUUUGUUGGUCUUCAGUUAGCUGUAGCUGUCAUUGUUGCUCUUGCUUUAACAAACUCAUAUAGUUCGGCUACUACUCAGUUAAAGGGGUGAGACUUACUCUCACAUUGGUAAUUAACGUUGAAUGAUGGGAUUGCCUCAGCGAAAAUACAAAUUAUAAGGCGUUUUUUUUGCCAUUUACUUGAAGUUUCAUCGAACGUGCAGCAAACCGUUAACUCUCUAUUAUGGUUGUAUGUUUCAUAUCCCAUAGUGAAUUUCUCUUUUGGACAACCAUUUUCCUUUUCCUUUUUUACUUAGGAACCAGCCAUUUUGAUUUGAGGUCAAUGUGAAUUUUAUUCUACGUAGUUCGUUUCCUUUAAGAUCAUCUCAAGUGACUAAUAGACUUUCUUUUUCCUUCAUUUUAUGCAGUACAGGUGAUUUCGUAUUAGAACCAUACAAAACAGAGGUAACAUCAGAAUCAACCCCUUUUGCUAUUUCACUGGCAAGACAUCUACAUUCUAUAGGUGCUAAGAUGUAUGGAGCAUUCUGGUGUACUCACUGCAAUGACCAAAAACAAGUAUGAGUUCUUUCAUUUUCCUUGAAUCAACAGCUUUUAAUAGUUACUACCACAGGACCUCAUUGUUGCUGUGCUAGAUCUCCAAAAAUGAAGCAGAGCAAAAUCAAUCAAGACCUACUUUAUAAUUCUUACCAUAUGGUCAUGCAGUUGUUUGGUCGUGAAGCUAUGGAAAUUCUGGAUUAUGUGGAAUGCUUCCCUAAUGGAGCCGGUAAGGGGAAGAAAAUGGCCAACGAAUGUGUGGCCACUGGUCUGGAAGGUUUUCCAACAUGGGUCAUCAACGGGAAGGUACUCCCGAUAAGUUGGAUGUUUCCAUUAAAGUUCAAGUCCAUGAUGUCACCCAUUCAGUGUUUUAUGUUGAGGCAUGAUUUAAGUUCUCGGUGCACAUCUGCAUUUCUGUCAGUAUUGGCUCACACUGAAUCUGCAGCUUAUCCUCAGAUGACAUCCUCUGUUUUACUUCGCAGUAGCAUGCAUAUAGCUUUGGUUUUCUACAUGUGAUGUUGUCGGUCACCACACUCCGUCGUGGCUUGCACAUGCUUCCUAGAUGAUGAAAGCACUAUGCUUCCUAUGUGUUCCCGAACUGAUUAUGUACCUCCCUUCCACUCAGCUCCUGAGCGGCGACCAGGAACUCUCAGUCCUCGCAGAAGAAUCCGGUUUUGUCUCCGAGAGCCCCGAGCAAUCCUGAGGCAUGGAGCUCGAUGAGCAGAAGCACCCCGCCGAAUCGAAGAGCAGAAAAGAGCUCUCUAGAGGCAAGAACCUGAAGCUUGUGGCAGUUAACAGCAACACCACAAAAAUUUCAUCCCAGAUGAGGUGCAUUCCAAUGGUGCAUAUGUAGAUUAUACUACUAAAUACAACCACUAACCACUGUAAUACUAUGUAAAAAACAAGACCUAUUUGUCCUCUCAUCGAAUGGCGCGGAAGGAGAGCAUCGAACCCCGGGGGCGAAUGUACUAGGACCUUUUUGUAGAGCCUGUAGUUUGUGCUGUAAAACCUGUAGUCCUGGAAAACCAUUGUUUUCGUAGUACGUAAUACUUUGCACUUGGACAUUUGCAGUCCUGGGGAAGUACACUGUCUGUGCCCUCCGCCCUUUGAAACGAAGGGUUUCUGCUCUCUGGGAGCAUAUGUGAAUUCCUGAGCUCCACAACGUCGAUAAUUGAGCCAUUGAUACUUUCUUGCUAAAACUGAAUUUCUGCCUGAUUUGUGCAGAAAGUCAAAAACACAAGGAAAUGGUCUAAUUCUUGCAGCAACUGAAGCAAAACCGUCUCCCUCCCCCAAAACAUAUGGAUAUGUGAAUUCACUUUUGUCUCAGGAAAAAAUAUGUGAGCGUGUAAAAGUGUGCAUACUCAUGUUUCUGGCAAAAGGAGAAAUAAAGACUGAAUGAUCUUUAUUUUCAGCUUAAGAAAUUCGCAAUAUGCACUUCAGGGUUGCGAAAAAUGUAGAGAGAGGGAGAGAGAGAGUAUGGCACAGUUGGGGGUAUCAGGAAAAAAAAACUGAACUUUGUUUGGACAGCUAUAUAUAGACGAUAGCCACUCUGGUUCUAAAAACGGAGAACACACUACUGUAUAUAGGAUUUAUUAGAAAGGUUUUGAAGGAUUGUGAAAAGCAUGGCACAAAUGCACUGUGGCGCUUGAUUCUGCAGAAACCUUUAUUUUUCUUGCUUUAUUAAGGUUAUUUUCUGCAGAAGAGACAGACACAGCUGGUGCUGCCCUCCAAUCUCCAGCACGUUUGUUGUUUGACACGGGCGCCGAUGACUUGCGCCUGCGUCCAGCACAGCGCCUUGCACAAGGCUUCGAAACAUAAUGGCGUUGUCGAAACCCGGUAUUUUGCAAUCCUCUGCACGGGAACACCACAUUAUUACUUACAUUAAAAGAAAAAGGAAACAGCACAUUAUUACAUUACACGUGUAAUUGUAAAUGUCCGCGCAUCGGUUAACUAUUACUCCCUCCGUUCCAAAAAAGAUUUCUCAACUUUAUAUUAAAGUUAGUAUAAAGUUGAGUCAUCUAUUUUGGAACGGAGGGAGUAGUUUGGUCUCUCGUAGCCUCACACCGCGAGCAAAGAAGAGAAAAACAUGCUAGACCCUAGAUGUGGGGGAGGAAGAAACGUAAGGGGCAUGUUUGGUUCUCUACAUGAAUUUGGGCCUCCUGCAUGUGUGGUUCGGUUGAGUCCGGCUGAGUAAAUAUAGAUAGUAAACAGGGGAGGAGCCAGGAUUUGGACUUGAGGGGGGCGAAAGGCCGAUGUUCACAGAAGUCAUUGACCAUCAUGAUAUUUUCAGUCUCACGAUAGCAUGAUGAAAAAUCAUAAUUUUUUUUGUUUGGAAUUACAAAAGAAUGUUACAUUUCUACACUUGAAUUGAGCGCUACACCUACAAUGUUGAACAAGUUGAUAAUGUAAACUUUGCUAUGCUUCUUACCAUUACUGUCAAUCAUGUAAUGCUGAAGAAAAUCAUGUUCAUUUUGUUUCGAAAACGUGUCUUGUCUAGUUCCAUAGACGAAAAAGUUUGUUCAGUUGUCGCGGCUGACACUAGAAGAUUUAUGACCAACCGAAGUAAUAUAUAAACCAUUGCGUAUGUAGUAGUUUUACUUGUUUUAGGAUCCAACAGUCAGAUCAUGAAGACGAGAUUUUCAGCUCUGGAUGGUUGCAAACAUCCAGCUAGAAAUGGACAAGUUGAUACUCUAGUUGAGCCCGUUCUUGACGAGAAAAGAUUUCAUGGUAACAAAAAAAUCCACCAUUGUUCCUGGAUUUAUUUCAGGAUUUCCGGCGAUGCGCUUUCAGUGGGAGGAGACGUUCCCGUCGACGACGAGGCGCCUACGGUGACUUCGUAAAUUUCAAGAUGAUAUGCCGGCUCAGUCUCUUGGAGGUGCUCAUAGGGGUAGGGUGUGCGUGCGUGCGUUCAUAGGGGUGAGUGUAUGCGCGUGUAUAUGAGCGCUUGUGUCUGUACUGAUGCUCAAAAAAAAAAUCCACCAUUGUGUAUAUAUUGGACACAUCAAAUAAGUCUUGUCGUGACCACAUGGUAUAUGGGUAGUAAGCAACUUCAUAUUUGAAAUUGAGCUGUGAUGCUUUAGGUUAAUAGAUAAAAAGCAAAGUUAAGGAAAAACUCAUGUCGUGGAUGCAGAAUAUAAACGAUGCUAAUUAACAAGACUAAGAUCACAAUUCACAAAAAAUAAACAAUAAUUAUUAAUAGUUACUGAUGCAUGGUGGUAUCUGCUGCCAACAUAUUCAAUCCUGUAUCCGCAAGAAAACAUAUUCAAUCUUGGUCACCUGGCUAGCGACCUCUAGUUGUAUUCUGAUGAUCUGAUCCGUUUGCAUCUAGUCAAUCGUAUGCGGACAGCGGGCUGUAGAGGGUAGAAUAGUGGAUGGAGUCGUCGUGGCGACUAUGAUGGAUGCCGCGGCGACCGUAAACGCCCUAGCACGACACGCACAUCAGUGGAUGGCACUAGCGGCGGCCGGUGAUAGCGGCAAAUGCCCUAAGCGGUCCAGGAGAAUACGAACGUAGAUCAAUCAAUCGGAUCUAUUAGAUUGUCCAUAGGGCAAACAAUAGCCGACACGUACAUAUCUAUGGGCUAUUGGGCUCUGGUCAUCAAUAUUUGGCGUAGCUAGUUCAAUGGAUAAAUUGNNNNNNNNNNNNNNNNNNNNNNNNNNNNNNNNNNNNNNNNNNNNNNNNNNNNNNNNNNNNNNNNNNNNNNNNNNNNNNNNNNNNNNNNNNNNNNNNNNNNNNNNNNNNNNNNNNNNNNNNNNNNNNNNNNNNNNNNNNNNNNNNNNNNNNNNNNNNNNNNNNNNNNNNNNNNNNNNNNNNNNNNNNNNNNNNNNNNNNNNNNNNNNNNNNNNNNNNNNNNNNNNNNNNNNNNNNNNNNNNGCCCCUGAUAGUAAACCAUGUUGCGUGGUGCGUUUGGUUGCCCACAAAGCUCCAGACUGCAUGAGAGCACAACAGACGUACGGCGUUUGGUUGCAAGUCUAGGCUCACCAGAUAAAACUUACUGUUGUUUGGUUACGUGUAAGACAUACAGUGUGGUUACAUCUUUUUUGGGCGGUGAGGUUACGAGCACACACAGUCAUAGGCACACCACUUUCAACAAGCAUGCACACAGUCAUACACACCACUUUCAACAAGUGUACGCAUAACUACAUUAACAAGCAUACACAUAGCGACACAAUCAUAGGCAUAAUAGUGACAAGCAAACAUACGCAUAACCACACAAUCGUAGGCAUAAUAGCUCAGGACCGACAGACUAACAAACAAAUAUUACAACUCUUGGAUCAUGACAAGUUGGGUCAUGAUGGACGCACUUGACCACCACGUCUGCGUCAGAAAUGUUGAACACAAUGAAUUUGAAACUAUCCCCAGUCAGGACCUAUGGUAAAGCAAACCCACCCUUGAUCCAUGGCAUGCCUCCGGUUGACAUCUUGGAGCUUGACCCUUUAGAUGCAGCUGGUGUUCGUCCUCAGAAUGAUUUCCUGAUGGUGCCCAUGUGCUCAUGGAAGGCAUCAUGGAUUAGAAGUAAAUAUAACCCAGGUGCUAAGCAACUUGCAGAAGUGGGAUGGACCUACGUCCUCAUGGAAGUGGUCGAUAUUUGUUGGCCUCCCCUGACCCCCCUUUGAAUAGUUGCCUUGUACUACAGCCUUGCCCUUGGAACGGCUGCCCGAAGAAUCAUUGUCAAUGACCAACUUGUCGGAAGGGCAAUGCAAUGAAGAACAUUAGGCUCAACACACCAUCGAACUACAAUGUGUAGGAUCAUAACAAUGUGUAUGUCAUGGGUGAUGAUCUUCACUGCUUGUUGUCAUAUAGAAGGAUAAAGGUGGUACAAGGAUCAGAACUACAAUGUGCAGAACCAACCCUCAUACCAACGAUCACCCUAAUACAUGGACUGCACAUCAUUGAAGAUCAUUGCUCAAGACAGUCCAAGUUAAAUUGUUCUUCCCCCAAUUCAGAUUGAUAUACCCCCUAAUAGAACUUAGCUUUCCACAAAUAUAACCCUAAAUUGACAACCCAAACUGAGCCCUAUCAAUCUCUAAAUAGAGGCCUGUAAAACCCUAAACUGGAUGCUAAAUCGAACCAUAAUCUGGCAGGGAAGGGCUUAUCGCCAUGCGGAAGGUAACCGCCGAUGGUCGCCAUGCAGAUCUUCCCACCGUCGAUAAUCACAAAGCUACCUGUGAGGGAGUGGUGGCAUAGACAGGGAAGAGUGAGCGGUGAGAGAGGGAUGAGGAGAUUUAUGGCGCGGUUUCGAGAAACUAUGAACCGUCUCCCUCUCGUCCCCACAUGUGCAGCCGCGUGGCCUCCUUGCGCUCAUUCGUGCCUGACUCGCUAGAAACGGUCAGUUCGGCCAUUACUCCAAAGCCAGGCUCUGGGCUGCUUUGAGUAGUGUGCUAUGCAAGCCUAACCACACGCGCAUGUAACCAAACGACCAAAUUACCUUCCCAGCUUGCUGGAGAUGAUGUGGGCAACCAAACACGCCCAAGGUAGCAUGUCUGGCAUCCAUGUAGUAGUAUAUGAUGUGACGGUUUCUCAGAAACCUCAGGGAUGGAGUGGAUGGAGAGCAUGUCAAAUACACUGGUUGGAUGGUAGUAAUAAUUAUCAGGAUUAAGUAUAAUUUUCCCAAAUCUUAGUGGGUUUGCGGUUUAUAUUUUGUGAUUCGUACUUACCGAGCUAGUUUUUUUUAAAGAAAACACAGCUGAAGAGCAUCUUAGAUCCUAUAAUUACAAUGGAAAGACAAGACGACACAAAAUGACUAAUAAUAAUAAAAUCACGUCAAAAACCAUACUAAAACAACACAUGCAUUAGUUUGUUUUAGCAGGGUACACAUGUUGCCUUAGUUAUUUGCUUCAGUCUGUCAUGUAUAAGGCCGUGCAAAGAAGCGAAAAACAAGUUAGAGAGAGAGAAAGGGAGACGAACCGGCAAUGGCAGUAGGAUUUCCGUUUAACACAAGUACAAGGAGGAAACAGACAACCAUAUGUCGGGCAUCCAUGGUGAUGGCAGUGAUAGUUUCUUUCUUAUCAAACCUAAGGGAGACGCCACCAAUAGUAUCUCCAAGAAAAUUAUAUGCAUAUAUAUCUGGCACCGGUUAUAAACAAGUCGACGUCAUCACAUAACAUCUGAUGACAAUUAAUAUUUUAUCAAAUAGCAUCAUGCAAUUAAUUUCUAUCAAAUAUCAACGUCUAAUUAUAUUUCACCAUAUAUCUACAUCACUACAUGCAAUUAACAUCCUGCCUUUUUUAUAGUGAAUUAAUAUCCUACCUAUAUAGAGAGUCUUUGCAUGCUCUUGAUAAACAUUUUUAUUUGGAAUGAUUGUAUCUAUCUUUAAGAUACGAUGAAUGCUUACUAUAUAUCUUUGAGAUUUGAGAUACGCUGGACAGGAUCCAGCUUGCCCGCGCCCCGCGCGUGCGCCCAUCCGUGCUCCCACUUCAUCCUACGGCUAUUCUUUUUUCCUUUUUCCUUCCUAAUCUAAUCACCCCCCUGAUUUUAACGGGUGGAUCCAGGCCUUUUUUUUGUUCCAAUCAAAUCAAGCCACGUAUGCGGGAGCAUGGAUGGGCGCACGCGCUGGGCGCAGGCAAGUCUCGUCCCGCUAGACGGUACCCUGAGAAUGGAUGGAUGGCCACCCAGGUGGCGGGUUAGCAUCUCCCUGUUCCAUCAUGUAUGUAUUGAUAUUGUUGUUAAUACACAAGCACGCCAUUAAUAUCUGGAGAAUUUUGCACCUACAUCAAAAGGAAAUUGAUGACUUGAUGCUCUGUUAGAUUGUAUGAUUAAAAGUGUAGAAAUUUUAAAAAGUGCAUAAUUGAGAUGUGAAUACUAUUGUUAGUGUUAAACAUAAAAAAUCUAUAAGAAAUAAUUGUGGACAAUGCUACAGUGCAUGGGAAAUAAACCAUAUUGACAGGGACCGAAGGCAGUGCAGCAGUGUCCGAAAGCGGGGCAACGAGACCCUUGACCUGCUCCAGAUGUCUUUUCCAAGAGCAGGAGGAUUAUAUCCAGGGUUCGACAUCGGCAGGAUCUAGCUUGGCUUCAACCAUAAAUAUGGGCAUACUUUGGGUGGAAAUCCAUGUUCUCGUCUCUUCAGCUUGAUCCGACUUUGUCACAUGCGUGUGUUGUGCCUUUGUUGAAGGUUUUGUCUCGAAUAUUGAGUCCGAGGAUGAAAAGUCAAAGUGUCAUAUUUGAUUGGACCCGUUAACAUCCACAUGGUGCGGUGAUCCUUCCCUGAAAGCUUUGUUUAUGAGUAGCGUUUUUGUUGGUUGCUUUGUCAAACAUUAUAGGGUUCGUGCUAAGUUUGUGGAGACAUUGUUGUGAGGAAGAUCCUUUUGUAGAUGUUGUUGGGUUUUUUAAGCUCAUUUAUUCGGCAUCGGUAUUGAGUUGUACUUGGUCAUUGGUUGAGAUUGUUGAAGAAUUAAUAAUACGUAUAUGACUAUGCGCAUCAGUUUGGGUGGCUGGUCCUCAUUUUCAGAGAGAAAAAGUAGCAAGUACUUUAUUUAGCGGAAACCCUUUAUUUUUUGUUGAGAUUAGUUAAUCAUUUCCUGCAGAACAAACAAAUACAAAUGGCAUCCAAUGGUGUUUUGUAACACCAGGCGUCUUUGACAUGGCCGCCCUCGACGAGAGCCGCCUUCGUCCAGCAAAGCCCCUUGCACCAAGCGUCGAAACAAAAUGGCUGCCUAUAAGCUCCUUUCUGGCAAUUCUCUGCACGGAAAUAAACAAUCAUGGACAUCCACGCGUUAGUAUUCAAGUCUGUCACGGUCUCACUACAUGAGCAUAUCCACGAAGCUAACAAGAACAUAAAAUCAACCNNNNNNNNNNNNNNNNNNNNNNNNNNNNNNNNNNNNNNNNNNNNNNNNNNNNNNNNNNNNNNNNNNNNNNNNNNNNNNNNNNNNNNNNNNNNNNNNNNNNNNNNNNNNNNNNNNNNNNNNNNNNNNNNNNNNNNNNNNNNNNNNNNNNNNNNNNNNNNNNNNNNNNNNNNNNNNNNNNNNNNNNNNNNNNNNNNNNNNNNNNNNNNNNNNNNNNNNNNNNNNNNNNNNNNNNNNNNNNNNNNNNNNNNNNNNNNNNNNNNNNNNNNNNNGCAGGAUUUGGAUGCAGCACAAGUAUUAGGAGGAGGAAAUGGAGAACAACAAGCCGGGCAUCCAUGGGUGGAGUGAUAAGUUUCUUUAUUGCCGAACCUCAAGGGAAUAUAAACACCGAUAGCACGGUGUGAUGUUGUGUCCAUAUGUGUAUAUAUAGGAUCGUCUUUGCAUGCUCUUGAUAAAUAAUCAUUUGUUCAUAUUCAAUAGCCAUAUCUAUGUAUCUUUGAGAUACUACUAUGCUAAACGGAGGUACUCCCUCUGUCCGGGUUUAAAGGGCCUCUUGGCCAGGAAGCCCUGUCCGGAAUUGUAAGGCCGCGCACAUUAAACCUGCUCCAAUCACAGUAUUUUACCGUUUCCUAUUCCCAUGCCAUGCCUUGUUAAUCGCGUGUGCAGUUACGAGCCAUGCAUGCAAGCCAGUGCAUGCUAGCCUUUGCCUGCAAGCCGCCCCAGCCGUACCUUGUUUCUUGCGUGGGCUGUUUAUGUCGUUUGCAUGCGCAUCUAAGCUGCUGCGGUUUAUUAAUGUAGCAUCUACUUUAAGCUAGAACAGAGCCUCCUAAUUGGCCAAUUUCAGCUGUAAUUUUCAAGCUCUUCUUUUAAGCACUGCCUUGGUCCUAUCAAAGUGGUCUUUGGGCCUAAUAAACCCGGACGGAGGGAGUAGUCAGAAUGAAUGCAUGGUGGCCACACUACCAUUUAUCCCCGGACGGCCACGUUGCCACGUUAGAGGAUUCGACGGCCGCCUCACGAAGAAAGCUUUCAUACGUUGCCGACUGCUGCCGUUCGCGUUGGCGCCGGGCUACCGCUAGAGAAAAUAAAUGACCUAGGCUUUCUUGGAUUGCAGAGGCUAGGUUUUUCGCUGAGCAGUACAUACUAGUAAAAACAACACAUGUGUUGACGCCGGUCUAAUAUGCCACAAUAACUAAGAGCAUUUUCAAUAGAAAUGGUCAAAUUCUUGCAGCAACUGAAGCAAAGCCGUCUCCCUUCCCCAAAACAUAUGGAUAUGCGAAUUUACUUGUGUGUCUUUUAAAAAUAAAUGUGAGCGUAUAAAAAUAAAGACUAAAUGAUCAUUGUUUUUAGUUUAAGAAAUUCAACAUAUGCACUUCGGGGUGGUGAAAAAUGUAGAGAGAGAGAGAGAGAGAGAGAGAGAGAGAGAGAGAUGCCCUUUUUCUUCUUAAGUAAAAUGAAAGACAAACUUGGGUUUUCAGAAAAAAAAACUGAACUUUGUUAGGACAACUAUAUUUUCAAUACACUAUGCUCCCUAAUUUUGAAGGGCUCACAAUCAAUUGCGGUCUCUAAUUUAGAAUUGGUCAUCUUUUUUUAGGGUCAAAAAAGUAGGAGAGGCUCCUACACCAUAUAUAUUAAAAAAAUGAGGGUUAUGUACAAAUAUAUACAUGCUCCCUANNNNNNNNNNNNNNNNNNNNNNNNNNNNNNNNNNNNNNNNNNNNNNNNNNNNNNNNNNNNNNNNNNNNNNNNNNNNNNNNNNNNNNNNNNNNNNNNNNNNNNNNNNNNNNNNNNNNNNNNNNNNNNNNNNNNNNNNNNNNNNNNNNNNNNNNNNNNNNNNNNNNNNNNNNNNNNNNNNNNNNNNNNNNNNNNNNNNNNNNNNNNNNNNNNNNNNNNNNNNNNNNNNNNNNNNNNNNNNNNNNNNNNNNNNNNNNNNNNNNNNNNNNNNNNNNNNNNNNNNNNNNNNNNNNNNNNNNNNNNNNNNNNNNNNNNNNNNNNNNNNNNNNNNNNNNNNNNNNNNNNNNNNNAGUGUGCAGCAGAUAUUCUAGUCUAUAGAGUUCACCAAGGCAGAUAUGCUGGGUUUUAUAUCCUCUGCCACUCUCUUUUUCAAUUCUUUUAAUUCACCGUGCUCCCUAAUUUUAGAGCUCUUCCAUUCGAAUGAGGUAAUCAAUUUUAGAUUUGGUUUACAAUUUCAACCGGGCCAACGAAUUUUCAAAUCAAUUAGCAACAACCGGCCUAUAAAAACAUAUCAAUCCCACUCACCCUCUCACCAAUUAGAAAAAUGAAGCGUCAUCGUGUGACACUGUAGCACCAAUAUAGUACAUGCAACAACCGAC